rnacentral:lncRNA from 1 species
AAAAAAAAAAAAAAAAAUCAACACAUGUUCUGAAAAGCUACUAAAUCUGUUAGGACAAGGCAUUAAUGGUUAACUAAAAAUUAAUGGUUGCCGCCCUUCUAUAUCUUAUUACCUUUCCAAUCUCAUAAUACUAUGCGUCUGUGUGACUGCUCUCUAUUUUCACCGCUUGAUCCACUGCAUUUACUAGUUAAAAGUUUCGAUUAGAUAUAAGGUAUAAUUUCAUAUACCUCCCUAAGAAUGAUAUUUUUUGUAACAUUUUUAGCUCCCUUUGGAAGAAAUGCAAGAACGAAAUUUUUUUUAUUCUAAUACUACCCUUAUGUGAUCCUACUUUAUGAUGCUUACAACAACAAUAAAAAAUAAAAUAAGAUUAAAAAGUGAAAACAUGAGCAGUUAUAAAUGCAAUAAUGAGUAAAUUUUUUAGAUAUACAACAAUUAUUGUCCAGUAUAACAAAUGAGGUGUUUUGGAAAGCAUACUACAUUCCUAGAUAUAUAUUUAGUCAUUGGAUCAUUUUUUGAUUAAUUUUGACUAAUUUAUAAAUUUUUUAUAAGUAUGAUUUAUAUUAUAAACCAUACAUGUGAAGAGAUUAUUUUAAUUUUAGGGUCCGCUUGUUUAGGGUGAAAAUGUUUUCCAGGAAAAUAUUUUCCUAAUUUCCCGUGUUUGGUUGCACAAAAGUUAUUGAAAACAUUUUCCUAUGUAAAAUAUUUUCACUCAUCUUAUGGAAAACAACUUCCCUUCCAAACUUAUUGAAGUUGUUUUCCAAAAUGCAUGCAUCCCGCCUGUAGUAUGUUCCAAAUUUACUGAAAACAUCUUAUAGUAUGUUCUUUUUUUUUUUUAGUGUAAACAGGAGGACUCGAACCCAAGACAUCUUCCUUACACUCCCUCCCCCAUACCACCCAACCCAACCCAAUCCUCCUCCUAGUAUAUUCAAAAUAAAAAAAAAUCUCAUCCUGCUCAUCCUAUGCUAAUAAUUAAUUAUGUAUAAUAGGGACAUUCUUUUCUAGAGAAACUUUCAGCAGUGAGAAUGCAAGAUAUAUGUCACAAUAAGCAUUGCAUGUGAUUAAUAUUUGACACUAAAUGGCCAGCAAUUUGUUUAUUGCUUAAGGAGAUAUUUUUUAUUCAUAUAUACAUUUCUCCAAGAUUUUUUAAAGUUAAACAAUGAGAUAAAUUUUCUUAUUUUGCAUGGGAAGAAGUAUGUAGUUAUAAUGUAUAGAAAGUAAAGAUAGAGAUAAAAGUGAAAAUAUUUCAAAAGUUAAACAAACACCAGAAAAAUGAAGUAAGAAAAUAUUUUCAAUAAGCUAACCAGACACCUGAAAAUGAUGAAAGGGAAAUGAUUUUCAUGGAAAAUUACUUCCACGGAAAAUAUUUUCUCAAAGAAAACAUUUUACUUCCAACCAAACAGACCCUUAGUACAACUUAAAUUACUUAUGUAUUACAACAUAUUUUCUAAAAGAAUUUUCAACUUCCUUGUAAUUCUCCCACAAAAAAAAUUUCAAGGUCUUAAAUACCUAUCAAAAUUUAUUUCUGGUAAUAUGACUUGGGUACGCACAACCAAUUGCAAAUUAAGUCUGCAUAAUUUUAUAUAUAUAUAUAUAUAUAUAUAUAAUUAAAAGGUAAAGCAUUUUAUUCUCCAACCAAACCAAAAAAAAAAAGUAAAGCAUUUUGAAGAAGAUUUGGUUUAGAUCACGUUAUGUACCCCGGAAAGAAGGCAAAACAAGCUCUAGCUUCUAGGUUGUUUGUUUGCGGAUUUUAGCCUUGCCAAAAAUCCCCAUCACAUCAUAUUCAUUAAAAUUUCCAUACUUUUGGUCUCUACUUUUAUGAGUUUUCUUGUCAGUUGCUAAAAUCUUGGACAAUAUCCAGGCGGAGCUGCAGCGCUCCAAUCAAAAGCAUAAAUAAACUACAGUUUGUGAAUUAUAGCUUCAAAGAAGAUAUAUACCCAAUUGACUUCCCACUAGCGGGAGUGCGACGCGCAGCACCAGGCAUUUUUGGGAGCAUUGCUGGUAAAUAUUCAUCCAUUCUUAAGAAAACACAGUAGCCCUAAUACCGGUAGCAUAUAAGUGUGUGCCUUUCUUUUUAUUUCCUGCUCUGGAUUAACUAACUCCCGCUUCACGUAGGAAACUCAGAGGACUAGCAUUUAAUUAAUUUUAAUACUCACUCUGUCCCAUUUUGAUAAUCCUAUAGUUUUCUUCACGCAAUUUAUGAAAGGUAGUUAAUUUUAUUGAAAAAAUAAAUUUAGAUUGCUAUUUUUCUAAAAUAUCUUUACAUUAAAUAGAGUACAACUUUAUAUUAAUUAUUUAUGAAAACUUAAACUGAUGGUUUAUGAAAAUUUGAAUUGAUGGUCAAGAAAACCUACGUAGAAUGAGGGUAUUUUAGAGAAAUCAAAAGAUAACUACAUUCUUCAAUUAGAAAGCCGACUACAAUUUGGAACAGACGAAAAAGGAAAACAGGACUAUCAAAAUAGAACGAAGGGAAUAUUUUUAAUUUUAGUGAUGGCCCCAGAGGUGAUAAACCUGAUUAGUACGGGAUACUUGCAUCACGGUUGCUUGCUGGUAGUGUGAUAUGAGUCUGAUGUGAUGCAGGGCACUUAUAUGUGAUUUCGAGUCUAAAAGACUAAUUUGGAUUUUGGAUCACUCAUUAGCAGUUUUAUUGUUAGUCAGUAAAAGCCUAAUUUCCAGGGAUUGAUCAAGCAGUGGUUGGAGAGGGAGAGAUUUGAGAUAGCUGUGCUUUUUGACCCGACCUCCUCUUUUUCAUCCCGGCUGGACCAUGUCAAGGAAAAGACUGAUUAUCCAUCGAUCGAGCAUGGUUGUUCGUUGUUGUUGUGCCUUGACUUGCGACAUUCCUUUUACAGGGUCCAAAUAUUCCUCUAGAACCGGGGGGAAAAAGAAAAAACUGUCACCGGACGCAAUCGAUUAUGGUAAAGAAAAAUAAUUUGGGAAACAUUCGAUCAUAUGCCAAAUUACACCUUCUAGGCUUUAUGUGGCGACAUAGAAGUUAACAACACACUUGAAACCCAAAAAAAAAAAAAAACAGUACAAGAGUUCUUACAUAUCUAGUAAAUGCCUGUUCAAUGUCAUCUGUGUUUCUGGAUGCAUUUGUACGGCGAUACAAUAAAAUACUACUACUAGUAGUAUGUAACAAGUGAAAUUGGUUGCGGCUUCAAAAGAGAAACUGAAAGACCCCAUGCCAAAAUCCAUGAGAUUAGGACAGCUGUUACGUGGAUUGUUAAUGUCAAUGGGAGGUCGCAAGUUCGACUUCUAUAUGUGGCGCCUUAUAAAGGUUUAGGUUACAUCUCUACUAAAAAAUAAGAGUCGGAUCCUACGGGCGCUUCUCGACGGAUUCCACGAGCGUAUACUCAUUCGUGAGUAAGAAUCGGAUCUUACAAAUCAAAUCCGGAUUAGAUUUACUGAGGGUGGAAAUAUCAGAUACUUAAAGCAAAAAAAGAAAAAGAAAAAAAGACCAUGCCGAUACCAAUUGAGAAAAUUGGUCAUAGGUGAAGCUGAGCAGGGGAAUUUAGUCCGUUGACCGUUGGUUUAUUGCGCCAAAAUCCUGUUGCUCUCUUGCAAUUCUCGUUGCGAUCGAUGAUUAAAGACAUGCAUGAUAAUUGCAAACUCCAAUCCAAACUGAUCUGGUCAGGACGGUUACCAGAAGGUGUACCUCGCCUCCAGGCUUUUCCUUCCACCAAAAAAACAAAAGAAACAGUGAAUGGUGAAAGGAACAGGGAGUUUUCUUUCUUUUCCCUCUGCUCAGAGUAAUGCUAGUUUCUGGAGUAUAUAGGUUAGGUCAUGAGGUGCAAUUAUCCAAUCUGACCCCGUUUUGACUUAAUGACACUACCCGGAGGAUGUGAACUCUAAAACACUCUAGGGAUUUUAAUACUUCAUAGCCAUCUGUUUUGACAGUUAAACUACCUGAUUAACCAAAUCCUAAUCAACCAACCGAUAAAGACAACUUGAAGCAGUAGGAAACUCCCACAAGAUUCUAGGACCCCACCAACCCCAAUUCAUUCGAUCAUGUAAUGUACCUCCCCUACCGCCAUCUAAUUUCUUAAUCAGGAAUCUGACAGUUAAUACCGUUAAAAUCUCGAAACUGCAACUUAAUUGUCCUGAUUUCGCGAGAGGACGCAUAGGGUAUAUGCCUGCGCAUCAAGGCAAAUUGGAACGCUCCUAUUCUUUCUCCUGGCCAAAUUUAACCUAUCUUUUUUUUUUUUUUUUUUUAAAGGUGGUUGGUUACGCGUUUUUGUGGGGAGCCCAGGCCAUGACGGACCCGUAAUACAACCAAAGCAACUAUUUAGCUCUUGGUUGGUAAUCCUCAUUACGUCGUCCUUUUCCAACCAACUCUUGGAUAAAAUGUUUUUCCAAUAAGUAUUAUAUAUAUAUAUAUAUAUAAAAGAGAAAGAAAAAAAAAGAGAGGGAUGAUGUGAUGGAUUAGGGGAAAUCUGUUGGUUUAAUAUGAGCUCAUAUGGAAUCUUUUAUCGUUUGGAAAAAAAAAUAUGAGCUCAUAUGGGCAUGGUUGGAAAAGUAGUUCUGCUGUCUCGUGAGGUGUGAGUGGUCUAAUAAGAUGACAGACACUAGUGGGACUGACAGAGACAUUCCAAUGGUUACUAUCCUGCAGACGGAAUGAAUGGUGAUGCUUUUGUUGAAGAGUCGGCAUUCAGAAGAAACCGGACACGAGACACUGUUGGGAUUCGAGUAUGGAGAAAAUUUUGAUGAAAGUAAAAGUUUAUGGUAACACACAAGCGAUACAGCCAACUAUUUUGCCUUGAUUAACGGCCAGAAAAAGGUUCUCUUUCGUUCUGAUUUCCAGAAUUAGAAUUCAAAGUAGUGCCUAAUUAGCCAUUUGGCGCUACUCUUUCUGUCUUCUUGGUUGCAUUGCAUUGCAUUGCAUGUCUGCUAAAUAUGGCGCUACCUUUUGGUCCAAAAUGACGGCAGAGGAAUUUGCAUUUGCAUUUGCAUUUGCAUUUGCAUGCAUGCGGAUCAAGCAUUGCGAAUGUGGAUGGCGUUCCACUUCCCUCCCUUUUGCUUUUAAAUUUCUCAAUAAUUAGGGAUCGAAAGAAAGGCAAAGGCUGCAUGGCCAUGAUAUAUAGUACUAAUAUACAUACAUAUAUAUAAUAAUAAAAAGAAAUCCCACUGUCGGGCUUCAUUAAACUACCAGUAAAGUGACACGAGCGCCUUUUAAAAUACCAACAAGCUGCUUGCUGGGGUUAUCGGAAUCCACGACAUGUUAGUAUUUAUUUCGACCUGUUCUUGCUGUUCCAUUAAUUAAUAGUUCAAUCACCCCCACCGCAUCAUUCUUAGUGGGAGUAUGUUUUCAGUUGAUCGUGGAGGAGACCGGGAAUUCCCCGCCCGCCCUCGGAUUCCCUCCUUCUUCAACCGGAAGCAUCUUCACUCGUUAGGUUACCAUAUGAUCAAUUCGCAAGUUAAUUGCAAGGCAAAGCUACGCUAUCAUCAUUUCUCACUACUUGCAUCUAUUCUUGGCACGAAGAAACGAUGAAGUAAAAUCAUUGCCGUCAACAAAAAUUACUAAUACUUUUAGCUUUUUUGUAAGCCACAUUCGAAAAUGACAUAAAUUGCAAUGCUCUGACUUCUUAAAUUACAAAUUCAAAACGGUUCAUUUUCACUCUUGACUUUGGACAUGGAAUAUUGCGUUUUUUGGUCCCUCACAAUUAUAAAAAAAAAAAAAAGAAAAGUCUCCUUUUAGUCCCUCACAUACGCAAUGGAAAUGGAGCUACCAACGUGGUCCCGAAGUAUAUUAUUUUGGUCCAAUAUCCUAUUUUUCAACCAUUUUUCAACUAGGCAUCUGCUGAUACCAGCAGCACCAGACGCUGACCAAUCCGAAUUUGGGGACGAUUGAUUGUUUUCCUUUCAUUUACAAGAGUCGAAUCCAAAAUCCUUCAAGCGACGGUCCUUCGAAUCUCUCUAACCACGGGGCAAAACUCCCACGGAAAAGAAAAGGGAAAAGGAAAAAGGAAAAAGAAAUGGGAAACACACUUAAGUCUCGGUCAGCAAAAAGUCAAAGUGGGCCGCGUGGGCUGACGAAGUGACAACGUUUCACCACCGAAAGAGCACGUACCAUGUAACAUGACAAGGAGCCCAAGGUCCCAUGCGUAACCAACUGUGACAUCACAGAAGAAGCAAAAUUAAAUGGAUUAAGCAACGCAGAAGAAGAGGAGUGGGGAGAGGCUUCAGGAUGAAAAGAAAAGAAACAUGGCGGUUUCUGACUAGGUUUUGGGGGCCCACGAUUGUUUCACUCUUUUUCUGAUCUUGUCGCCCUUUUUACUAGCUAUUUUAUGUCUCGCGCUCAUCACUUUGUCUACCCCGAUCCGCUUCCACUUUCCCAAAUUCCACUCUCAAGUUUUCCUUCUUCCAUCCAUGCACCCACCAGCCCUUCUUUUUUUUUUUUUCUUAAAUUCAUUUUUGAACACAACCCCCCAAAAAAAUCUUAGCUAGCAGUGAGUAGUGAUUAAUUUCCUUCUCAGGCAAAGAUCCCAGGACCUUUAUAAUAUUAAGAUUCUCUUUCUCCUCUCUUUUAUUUAAGUAGUAUUGAGCUAAUAGCUCCAAAAAAAAAGAAGAAGAAAGUACUCAAAAGUGAAAGUAAGAGAAAGGUAGAUACAAAAAGAAAGAAUUAAUGGAAGAGAGACCAUUGGGGUUGCGUUCUUAAAUUAAGUAUUAGCCGGCCGGAAGACAAAAACGUUGCGUGAUUAAAGUGAAGCAAUUAAAGCCUACAAAUCUGUGGUGUGAAACUUUCAAGCGAUCUCUCCUCUUCUCCAAUCGUUAAAACACGCUUUCUUGACCGGAGGAAAAAGGCGAGACAAUUUUCUGCUGCCAGGUGAAACAUUUCCUUGCGUGUGAAGUUUGGAACAUUUUGAUUCAGCCAGACACACAGAAACGACAAACAGCUGCUAACAUAAAUUAAGGUGUCGGCUGUAGACCACAAUUAAGCGAAGUUUACAGCACGAAUAAAAGUUGUUGCAUCUCCAGUUUUAGGCAAAGUACGUACGCAGUCACAGUCAUACAUAUACAUAUAUACAUAUAUAUAUACAUUGAUGAUAUGGGCCAAAAGUGACAAAUAAGGUCAAAAACAAGUAGUAGCAGGGGGGUCGUCACGUCAGUAGACUUCGCCGGCCGGGAUGGGAUCUAGUAUGGCAGUAGUAGUAGUAGUAGUACAGUAGUAUUCAUUUUAAGAAUGGUCUAUAGAUAGAUAGAGAGAAGAAGAAGAGAAACCACAAUAAUAAUAAUAAUAAUGAUUCUAACAUGAAGGAGCAUCAUUGGCAGAGGCAUCCCAGUCCCAACCACUCCUAUGCAACAAGUUACAAUGUGUCCUGCUUAAUUACUACCAUAAACAAUACUUACUUACUCUGUCGCUCGCUUUUCAAGUCAAAGGCAAUGAUCAUUAAAAUUCCAAGAGAAUGAUUAAGGUCACUCACCAGUCACCAGUCCGUCCGUCCGUCUUUUAUAGUAAUCUUGAUUUUAAGCCACUUUUAUGGAGUAUUCAUAUUAAUCAAACGGAACAACAGCCAUUCUCCACAUGCCAUUUACGAAUAAUCAUUGCCCAAUGAAGCCACCACCCCUCCACAAUUAAUUAAUGUCUCAAUUCUUGGAAUAAUUAAUUAGACCUCCUCCGCUCAAAACUGCAAACCCCGCAAAUAUUACUCUCUUUUUCCACUAUCAAUAAUUUCCGGUGUCAAAACAUUCACUAAAAUUAAUUUAUUCCCUAUGCAAUUUUUUCCCAGUUGGAUGAGAAAAUAAACUGCACUUGGCAGACAAAAGUGAAACUUCUCUAGUGUGGACUCUCUGGAGUCCGGACUGGCGCAUUGGCUCGUGUUAUAUUAGGCUCCCAUCUCAGGGUAUUACAGGGCCAAGCAAUAACAUCAUCCAUUACCGGCCCAGCCCAUGUUCACCUACUUAAUUAUUUUUUUUUUGGGACUUCGCUUUAAGUGGGAACAAAAGGAGAGAAAAGAACAAAUUCGGGGAGAGAGAGAGAGAGAGAGAGGUCUCACCUAUUUCAGAAGACUGAGUUUAAAGUUGAAAAAUAGAAGAAAAGAAUUCGACAGAUUUCUUUAAUUUCGAAUAGCCUUUUUUGUUUUACGGAGUUAGAUAGAUUUGUUUGCUAAAGCUUUUUAGCUUUAACAAUUUUAGAUGUGCCCAUAAGCAAACGUAAAGAUAGAGCGAUAAAAUAUGUAUGCCUUAUGAUACGAACAUUUCCUCCCUUCCCUUUAACUUGUGAUCAUCUUUUCGUUUCUUUUCUUUCCUAAAACCCGCAUGAAACGUGAAGCAAUUUAGAGCACCCGGAACGGGCACACUGCUUUUGUCUCCGACCAGGGCCCAUGGAAAGGGAGUCGGAUAUGGAACUACCAACGUGCAGACCUGCCCAAUUAAUCCGAAUAAUUCAGGAACCCAGUUUGCCCUGGAUUCUACUCUAUUGGUUCUCGGGCCCAUAACCGGGUCUGGGUGAUGCCUUCCUUCUGGAGCUUUAGGCCCAGUUUCAAAUGUGACCAGUUUCAGCCACUGCAUUACUCAACAAACUCGAACGCCCGGCGGGUGCUCGAUUUCAUCCUUUGCAAUUUUUGUUGCCCUGUUUGCGUUGGCUUGAAAACAGACGACUCUUAAACAAAAGUUUCUUCAAAACAAGACCAACAACAUACUUAGUAAUAGAUAAAUCUUUUUUAGCCACAGAUUAGGCUCAGAGCUAAGUCAAGAUGAGUAUACAUUUAAGGUCAUCUGAUUGAUUAUGCAUACCAAUAUCAAUAGAAUGCAAAUGAUCCAACAAUUUCAUGAUUUUCUCCCCCAAAAAAGAAUAGGCAGGCGACCUAGUCAUGCUCUUGGUUCAGAUGCAUCGACAAAACUCCCAAGUGUGGGAUUUUAGCAUCUGGAUGCGAGCAUUAACCAUCUAUACUGCAACUUUGGUGCGCAAAGUGAAGCAGGUUGUUCAAAAUCUUUGCGUAUUCGUGAGCCCUUCAGAAUCACUUCAGCUACUUAGACGACUGUUACAGAAAUUACAGGCAUUUAACGUCAAAUAUCAAAAACAGUACUACUUGUCAUACUAGCCAAAUUAAGCCAUAAACAUAAGAAGCAUAACAAUACAAAAGAAUUUCUUAAUUUCUGGUGAAGCUGAUUAACCGAGCAUCUUUAAAAAGCGAGCUUUUAAUCCCAGUAUCUAAAGGCAGCAGCAAAACGGCUUAAUGUUAAAACAUUUACCUUUACUUGAGAGAAGCAAAAACAUGACCAAACAAGAAGUCACUUAAAAGUCUCGCCUAGGCCGAGCUUCAGCAGGGCUUACACGGAUUGUCCUUCCAUUCAGGUCCUGCAAUUCACAGCUCAAAAUGAGAUGAUGCAGCAAGAAACAAAUUUAAAGCAACCAGAUCAAACGCACUAGCAUGGUCAUGCCUGUUGGCAACCACAUGUUAUGUAGUAUUUCAAUCCUAUGCAAUGAACUAAAUAAGCAAAGGACAAAAACCAGCAGAGUAGGAUAUGCAAAUAAUAACAAGGACAAUAUAUCCAUAAGAGUGUUAUCAAGGCAGAUUACUUGCUUAAUGUGCUCCAUUCUUGGAAAAAGCCAAACACUGUGAGUCUUAGCAUCAGUAACAGCUUGGUACUCUUUAAUCCUCAAGUUUAACACAGAAAAUUAAGGUUCAAAAAAAAUCAAAAGAGACAAAAAAAAAAAAAGGAACGUCACAGCUCCAGUAUGAUUACAGUAAGGUGUUUGAUAGUUCAGCAUGGUGAAAAGAUAAUACUAACAUCCUCUUUCCAGAAAAAAGUACAGUAAGAGGUGACAAACGGACCAGUAGCCAGUCCAAAAUAUAGUUCUGAUUCAGGGGCCGUAGAAGUGUAAAAGAUAUAGGGUUACCUAGAAGAAUAAAUUGAUAUGCACUACAUACAGCAACAAAAGAUAUAAUGCAGUUGUUAUAGAACAAUAACUUACAACGCCAUUCAAAGAUUCAAUUGCGUUUGUGACCUCAUCAGCAGAACUGUAAGUUACAAAACCGAAACCCCUUGAUCUGCCACUGUCUCUGUCAUAAACCACCUUGGCUUCCACGACCUUUCCUUGCUCACUGAACAAGGUUUCCAGAGCCAAAUUAUCAACGCCCCAUGCAAGGUUUCCUACAUAGACUCUAUUGGUGUUAUCAAUACUUGCCCCGCCUCUGGCUCCUCUAAAAGAGCCCGCCUCCCUCCUAGAAGGUGGUGGUGGCCCGCUAUUCACCCUCAAUGCCCUCCCCUCAAGUUCCUGAAAAUUUGUCAGACUUGUGAAUAAGUGGCAUAACCGAAACAGCCAGAAACCAUAUGAAAAUCAACACAGCUUCAUGCUAUUUAAAGACUACAUGAUGGAACUUGACAUGAAAAUGUGUAAGACGGAACAAACUCCAAACAGUGCUUUAGUUCAAUUUCAACGCGGGUGACUUCAUUUUCUGGAACACGCAAAAUGUUACAAUUUGCCUCAUAAUAGCCACAACAGCUAUUAAAGGAUUAAGAGAAGCACCAAAGCCAAAAGCAAACAAAAGCAAACAAAGACAUGCAUGAAUAGUUAAAAGAGUGAGAAAUUACAUAGCCAUUGAAUUGAUGUUCAGCAGCUUCAACUUCCUCAGUUGUGGACAUGGUCACGAAACCAAACCCUCUACUCCUUCCAGUAACCUUGUCAUAGAUAACCUGCAAACCCAAGCUUGCCAGUCAGCAAGAGCAAAGCAAUUCUAAUUUUCUUGCACCAAUUCAACCAUGAACCACCCACAUAAUGACGUAAACAAAAAGGGAUAGCGUCAGAUAUACUACCAGAUGCUUAAACUGCCAUUACUUCAAAUUACCUAAGUAAGAUAUGAGUAAAUAAAACUGUAAUAAACUCUCAUAAACCCAGACAAGGUUCAAAAGUGCAACCUUUGAAAUUGCAACUAAACAUAGCAAAUAAAAUACACUAAACAGAAAAGGGCCAAUUCCUAUGACUCCCGAAAGAAAUUACACUAAAAUAAAAGGGGCCAAUUACUCUCACUCCAAGAUUCUAGUCAAACUACAAAAGAUAAGCGAGAAAUAGAACGAAUGUACCUCAACCAUCUCAACAUUUCCAGCACGUUCGAACAAGCCAGCAAGAGCAGCGCUGUCGACGCUGAAAGGCAAGUUGCCAACAAAGAGUUUAAGGUCAGGGGAGAAACUGGGCUCCUCCUCGGGACUGGAACCUCCAUCGCCGAGAACCUCGUCUUCUAAUUCUUCCUCCCCAUCUAUAACUCCGAUUUCGUCCAAGUCAGAGGAAACGGCCGCUUUGCGGGACCAAGGCAAGGAAAGCUCCCGCGGGUGCAAAGAAGAGAAAGCAUUGAGGGAUAAGCAGCGGGUGAGAGACGGAGGAGGAGGAGACAGAAAAGAUAGGGAAUUAAGAUGGGUGGCAUUGGGUUUUGAUAGAGAAAGGGUAGUUUGUGGGGUGAAUGAAAGAAAGUGAAGCGAAGAGGCAGAGGCAGCCAUGAUAUGAAUCAGUAGUGAGUGAGUGAUGAGUAGCAGAGUAUCUGCUGGUUUUGAAGGGUUUGAGGGAUACGCAGAGUAGAUAAGGUUUUCCUUCUGCUCGACUUCCGCCACCUCUCUGAUUUUGUUUUAAAAAAAAAAAAACAAUGGAGAGACAGAUAUUUGGGGAUAGAUAUACAUAUAUAUAUAUAUAUAUAUAUAUAUAUGAGACAGAUAUUUGGGGAUAUAUAUAUAUAUAUACACGAGGGCAUUUCUGUCUUCAAAGGACGCUGUCCCUUUAGACCUAAUCUCGUAUGCACCACUAGUUCUCUUUUAAUUCUCCUUGGGCCGUUUUCAGUUCUCAUGAAUCUUUGUUGCUGUUAUUAUGUCUUGGGCCAACUUAAAGGGCUACCCUCAUACUUUCGCGAAACAAAGAAAAAGAAAAAAAAAGAUUGAUUUUUGGAUAAAUAUAUCCAUUACGUUUAACCAUUUGCUCAGAACUACGUGAUAUAUAUAGAUGAUCCAACCGACAUAAGCUCCAUCAACGUAUGAGGCAGAGUCCAGACAAAACAAUGAUUACACACAAAUGGAACAUUUCAUGUCAGAAAUUAAGCAAAACACGAUCAAAGUACCUUUUGUAAUUGAGUAUUGCCUUCUUCAUAUCCUUUCUUACAUAUAUGUACAAUUGAAGAAUGCAAAAUUGGGCACAAAGAAGUUCAAAUCUGUACUUUAGUACUGACACUACGAUGGAGGCAGCAAAUAUCAGAUAACCUUCCAUUGAAUCUCAAGGUGUAUUUUACCAUCCUGGGAAUUGAUAAGAUGGUACUUUUCAUUGAUUCGCCCAUUAUGCACCACAUCAGCAAGAUUGAUAUCAACAUGCCCCAGUGAUUCCUAUGCAUCCCCAGACAAAAGUUAUGCUUGCAUUUCUCGUUUUAUAAACUCGGUUGUAAAUGUAGGGCUGAUUGAUGAACCAUACCUUUGACCUGAAACCAAUGCCUCUUCGCUUACUCAGGACUUCAAUAUGGAUCUGAUCCGUGGAUGGAGCCUCCUCCAGCACAAACUGAAAUUCCUCAUUCCAAGUGGGAUUCCGGUUUUUGCUGAUCGACUAGAGAAAAUUGACACCAUAUUACAUCGAAACUCAGCACCCAAGAAACCAAUGCCAAACCAUGUCUUUCAUACCAUUAUAACAAAAUGUGGGAUCUAAUCAACCAACAAGUUGAUCGCCAAAAGGGAUUUUAAUUAAGGGAUUCAAACCUCGCACCUUGCUCUCAAAAAAUUUUAGAGUGUGCCAGAACACCCCAUUGGCCUAAAUGGGUGAUAAUGCGACAAUAUAAAUGUUACUGAUCGACAACAACAAAAAAAAAAAAGAAAAGAGUAAGCAAUCAACUACCUUAGUUUUUUUCUUCUCUCCUUUGAACAGGACUACAGCGUAAGGAUUAUUGUGGUUUUUGCCCUCAACGUCCUCGGCACCAAUUGCCGUCACCAAUAGUAAACCAGCACCUGACAAGUUGUCUGCAGGGGCUUCUUUAGUACUUCCAUUUCUAGCAUAAUCCGGGACUCCGCUGAACUUUUUACUGUCUUCUAGGAAAGGCACAAAGGUAAUCUCCAACAUGAUUUGACCUCGGGGCUUCUUGUCAUGGGAAUCACUACUGUUAUUUGUGCUAUUGAGCAGAUCAAGUGUAAGCUCUUUCUUCUCGUAUGGCGUCAGCUGCUUCAGCGGAACAACUUGCAUUCCCAAAUUGUCAUGUGCCCCCACCUGCAAAGCAAAGGUUGGUCCAAUGACAUGUUAAUUUUUUGUGAUCUAUCGUAAUUGCAAUAUUGAGAUAAAAACAGCGAAGUCGAAGCCUGAAAAACUUGUAGUUUGAAGACCAUGAAGUUUAAUGACUAACUAUCAUCAACGAAGUUCUAAGAGCACGUUGAAUAUUAUCAGGGAAAGAGCUUUAUAACCUUCUCCCAGUCAUAGAGGCGUAACUCGAGAACUUGAGUAUAGGGGUCCUUCACUGAGAGCUUGAAUUCUUCAUUCCAUUCGGGGUUCAGAUUAUUCAUCUUGACGGAAGUCUUCCUGGCAGGAAUCGUGUCUCCACUAAGACUAAGUUGAACGUAAGGAUCAGAUGAUCCGAGAAAGUCCUUUUUCAAGAGUUUGUAUGCCCUCAAAACCUUCACACGCAAUAUCCCAACAGGCUUCUUCACUCUUGCUCUAAGACGACAAAAAGCAGAAAGCAACGUCUUAGUCUUAUCGUGUAAACAUGAAUGAAUUAAUCUAGGUUUAAGCUAUUGACGUGAAGAAAUGAAUGCUCCUUGAAGGCAAAAACAAAAAUAUGGCACGGAACCGUGAUCACGGAAAUUGCUCAUGCAUGGUAAUGACAGGUAAUUCAGCCAAGAAGCUGAAAGGCAUUCCCAGUAAUAUCCGAGGCAAAAUAAUCAUUCUUUAGUAGCUUCACUACUUACUUUGAGUUGUCAAGUAUAGGUAUUUCGAGCGUUUGUGGCCAGAGAUAAAGCUUAGCAGCUUCUUUGCUUAUAAGUUCCUGCAACCAAUGGAAAGACCAAAUGCUACAUCAAAUUCUCUACUGCAAGUAUGAAAAAUAUCAACGUGCACGUUUAUGCCUAGAAAAAAAAAGAGAACAGAAGAUACAAGGUGCAGGCCAAGAUUUGUUAAUUCAUACAUGUGGUUGAAUUAAGAAGAUUGUGGAUUAUCUAUUAGUUAUCUACAAGACUGACUGGGUACAGAACUGUCAGGGAAAGGUGUAAUAACCUCGGGCAUUUUUUUCCAGGAACUAUAUGAGGAAGAUAACCCUUAAAUCGUGAAUCGUUCAUUUUCUUAAAUCUCCUUUUCUUGUGGAUGACUCUGAGCCAUACCUUUUCCAGACAACUAUUCCAAGUUCUGCAUCGCUUAACAUUCGAUUCUUCAUAAGAAUUUCACUUCUGCUUCAGUUGUUUAGCAUCUUGAUAACAUAAUUGUUGCUAACCACGGAUAAGGUUUUAACUUUCUGGGCUACUUGAUAUAAUGGAAAGGCAGAUGACGACCCACCUGCACGAACUGGUAUAACCCAGGGAUGGCCAUCAGAUCCCCUCCCAUGACCUUCAGCCCGAAGUCUAUCUUUGGCUACAGAAAAUGGAGAGUAUACUGAUUAAAGCUCUUCCACAUCCAUAAAGUAAUGUCCAAGCUUUUUAUUAAUAUGCGAAAUUCUUUUUUCUUACCUUCUGCAUCAAUGACACUACUACACUUGAAAAACAUGGGAAUGUUGGGACAAUAGGUCUCAAAAUUAUCCUUGGUGCUGCUGAUAUUUGUAAAUCAAUCAACUGCAAUAAGCAUAACAAAAAAUAUGAUGUAUUUGAGCUUGUUCAUAUAAUUCAUCUGUCUUUUUUUUUCGUGUGUGCUGCUCCUGGAUGCCUUUUUUUUGCAGUAAAAUAUGAUGCUUAAUAAGAAGCCAAAAAUGCAUGACCUUUGGCUAUCUUCUUUUCGGAUGAAACAAAAAUUAAGCAGCAUGACAUAUACCUGAACAGUGACUUUCGCAGAUAAGAGUUUCGCAGCCAGAAUCAUGUUCGGAUUCCCAGCCCAUCUCAGGGCAAGCUCAAAAAAUAGCUGACUCUCAUUCGAUUCGUAGACCUUAAUACCUGCCAAGUGCCAAGUUGAUGGACAAACUUUGAGAUUCAUAGAAACAAAGCAGUUCAUAUUGAUCAUGCCUUUUCCAUUGACAUUUCUUUAACCCACUUUUGUAUUUUUCCAAGUCAUACUCCCAUUUCCAGUACUGUUAUUUUUUAAAACAAAUUAUGAUCUGCCUCGUUUACUGGGUAAUUCUUUGCACUUUCUUCUGUAAACCUUUUAUCUGAGAUUUGUCAUGAUUGGUCUGGACCUGAAUUUGUCCAGACUAGGAUCAAGGACCCUUAACCAGAAAAUAGGCAUAGGCAUACAAGUGUUAUACUUACGUACCAUCAAUCAAGGGAGGGAGAGUUCCAAGGCUAAGGAUCUCAAACUCCAAAGAGUCCAACUUAAAUCUGCCAGUGUACUCAGCAAGAUAAAGUUUCAUUGCGCUUUUGAUGGCCCCACAAAUUGCCUGCAGAGGAAAGGAGAUUAUGUUUAUAAAACUUUUUGGCCUACAACUGUAUUGUAGACUUCACUAUUUCAAACAAAAAGAACAUGAGACUCUGCUUUAAGAUCACGCAGUAUAAUCUGAAGCGUACGAGACAUCAUAAGUUCGAUCACCUUAUCGAGGUAAGGCCACAUAUGACGUACAAACUUGUUCAACCAGUCCACCUACAACAUAAUGUCGAUAUCUUCAGUACAAACUACUAAGAGGGAUAGUUACAAUCUACCUCAACUCAGACAAAAUAGUUUUAUUUGUUAUUCUCGAUACCCACUCGCUCAUAGUCUGGUUUCAUAACCCACAGUGGAAGUUCAGGUAGUAGAUCAACUAAGGAGUUGGAGUCUAUCUCCUCAAGUGGCGCCCUACUGACAGGAUCCUGCAAAUUUAUAUUCAACUAGCUGAUUCAGUUCCAAAUUCCUACUCAAAUACAUAGCAAAAAUAUUUGAACAACAUCUGCACUGACUACAGGUGAAAUGUUCUUGCAAAUAUCCGUUAGUCCCUGGCAUUAUCUAUUGCUCCAGGACCAUUGUAUAGUUAUAGCAGUGCUCUUCUAACAAUUAAAGGGUAUUCUUUCUGCAUGCCUAAAAAGCCAAGACUGGAAAAUCAGUUGCAGAAGCCGACACAAGCAAAAGAAGAAAAACAAGAAUUUUUUUGACAUGCAUAAAUGCAAAAAAGAUGCCAAUUUAGAUACAAUCGGGAAAAAGGAAGCAGCAGGGGAACUGGUCUAGUUGAAUUAUCAGUAGCUUCAAAGCCAAGUGCCAAUCCAGCUAUUGGUGGACCACAAAUUAACAAGGCAUUGAUUGGUUCUGCAAAAAAUGUUCCUCGAAACAUUUUGCUAGCCACUCCUGAAGGCUUUGGAGGCUAUGUACAGUGCAAAAGAAUGUGAAAACAGAUGUCUAUUACGCAUGAAUCGAUGUAUGAUCACCUUGAUAACAUCUUGUGGCCCAAAGUAGAUAAAUAUGAGAUAACCCAGAACAAGGCCUAUUGGAACUCCAAUGCCAAAGCCUAUGAUUCCCACCAAAGUCCCAAGGAGUCCCAUUUCCUUUCUUCAACCAACAAUAAUCGAUUAGCUCCUAACUCAUCAAGAAUUUGCAAUUAAUUAACUAAUCAGGCCAUUCAGGUGACAAAAAGGUGGAAGCCAACCUAGAGAGAGUUUAGUUAGGAAAUUGUUACGUGGAGAAUGAAUCCGCUAUUCUGUAGUAGUUUUGACUUUUGAUCGUGAAUGACGAAUGACCGAGUCGCAGAAUUACUGGUCCACGUGGCAGAAUAUGCCGGAAACUAUCAAUUUGGCAGAAUUUGGAAGUUUUGACUUUUAACAUUCAAUUUUUUUUUUGGAAAAAAAGAAAGGAGUUUGCCUAAAGCAAUGAUUUUUUAAGUUUGACUUUUAAAGAAAAAUAUAUACUUUGAGUUUGAGCAUUCACACUCUCCGGAAAAAAUUGAACAUCCACGCUUGUGUAGACCCUUAGCGUGUGUUUUUGGGUGUGUGUACAAGUACUUAAAUUUAAUGAUUUCAGGUUUUAAUAUAUUCAUACAUAUUUGACAUCUAAAAAUAAAACAUCUUAAUUAAUUAAUGAGAUUUGAAUUGUCCAAGCAAAUCUUACUCCAACCAAAAAAUAAGUGAUAAACUGUUACUGAUCAUUUAAUGCAGAAUACAUGCAGAUGUUAAAAUUUUAAUAUUUAACAAUAUAAUAACUCAACAAUUUCAUAUUUCAUAUUUCAAAUUUCAGUUUUAUCAAAUGUAUCAUAAUUGGAAAUAUCUAAAGGUGUGUUUAAGAUAAAGUACAUGCAAAAAUAAGGGUAUCUAAGUAAGAGGAGUGAAGGGAUAGAUUAAGUGGUACGGGAAGAGAGGGUAUGUAAGUGAGGGACCUUGGAUUUGAGACCUUCCACUUAUCAAAAAAAAAAAGAUAAAAAGUAUUAAAAUUACGAAAAUAAUUAACACUGAAAAUUAUCAGAAGAGUCAAACAUGCUUGUAUGAUAACGUCUUCUUUGACCUAAAGUAGCAUCGACCUUACCUUUAGAUAGUUUUUGUUUUACAGGAAAAGUGUGGGAAAGUAAAAGAAAGUUAUUUAUUUUUUCUUUCAUGCAUGUUUGGUUGGCAAGAAUGUUGAAAAAAUUUCAUGCAUUUUUCUACAAUUUCCUGUAUUUUGUGCCCUACAAAUUUUGCAGGAUUUUGAAGUAAAAUAGUUAGUUAUUCACAGAAGUUUUAAUAACUCCAAUUAAUUUUUAUUAACUUCUUGACAUAAGUUUCAAUAACUGCUACUAACUGUUAUUAUUAUUAUUGAUAGUACGAUCACGGGAUUUGUUGGCGGAACCUGUCGGCCCGCAGGGGGCAAUACUAACUAAUAUUAACUUCCUAUAUUCUGUCAAUAUUUUUCUUAGUAACCAAACGUAUAUCGAAAACUUAUUUUCAUUUUCUUUUACCUCUCUUUCAUUCACUUUACUUUCCCGUAAAACUUUCCUACAAUUCAAACAUUGCCUUAGUAGAAAUAGGUAUGCAAAUAUAGCGCGAGCAUGUACAUUUGGGUGAGGUCGUAGUUCAUUUUUUUUGUCAUUUCCUAGCUGAAAAAAGUAGCCAAGAAAAAAAAGAAAGAAAAUAAAAAAGGAGAGAGAACAAAAAGGGCAAAUUAUCUGGUUGGCCCUCAAAAAAUAUUUGGCUAGCACGCUUUUAGCCCUCCAAUUAUUAUUUGCAUAGUUUUAGCCCUCCAACUUCUAAAGGCGUACACUUUCCACACCACUUCUAACGUUUUUGUCAUAACUAGCAGGACUCAUAAAAAUUUGAGUUCAGAUUCAGAAUCUACUCAAAAAAUAGAAUCUAAAAGUAUGCUUUCAUUUAAAUUUGAUAACACUAAAAUAGUGAUCAACUAUUGAUCAACAAUGAUCAAUGGUCGUUGAUCAGUAUGCAGUAGUUGCAACGGUAUUAGAUGUGAUUGGAGGAUUGAAAGUGAUAAAAUUUAUGUCAUUUUGAGGUAGAUUUCGUUGGGAGUAAUAGUUAAAAUUGACAAACGGUUUAAAAAUAUAUAUAUGUUUUUAGAUAUAAGAGGGCUAAAAGUACGCGAAUAAUAGUUAAAGAGCUGAAAGUGGACAAGAUUAAUAGUUGGAGGCCCGGGCAGGUAUCUUGUCCGAACGGAAAAUCCACUCCACUCCAGACUUGCUCAUCGACGAGUGUUGUGCUUUCAUACAACCCGGUCAUGGAGCCCAACACGUUGAUCAAAGCCCCCUCUUCUCAGCCAGCAGUUUUAAGCCCAAAUUUUAAAAUACGCGGACUCUGACGAGUAAACCGACAUUGACAAGAAAAUACGCAGACCUUGAAGCAAUUAUUAGUAUAUAUAUAUAUAUAUAUAUCGCCAUAGAAUAGUAACUAACAGUGUACCACUAAACUCCAACAUUUGGCUUCCACGACCAUAAAAAGAGCCAAAAAGAAGGAAGAUAACUGAGGAGGACAUUUGCUGGCUUGGUUUGGCCAACUACAGUGAAAUGAUAGAAUACAACGUGCGUCUUAGGUAGAAAACUAGUAGGUACAAUGAACCGUUUCUGAGCUCGAUAAAACAAAUAAGUGGUUUAUUUACGAAACCCCAAAUAUCACAGUAUUCCAGUAAACUAAACUAACAUAAACAAAAAAAUAAUUCUCAGGAGCACAGGGAAUUGAGUUGUGUGUGUUGGCCAUAUGGGUAUCUCCCAACUGCCGAAAGAGAUGGGACUCUGGUGGAACUUUUAUUUUUAUCCAACGCUACUGUUACUGUUAACCAAAAUGGUAAAAACAGAAAAGAUGAAAACAGCAGUCACUUGUUCUUUCUUUUCUAUAUAUACUACUAAUAGGAUUGUGCCAGCCGAAGUUCAACGAAUGUGAACAUAUAUAUAUCUUACAUAUAUAUAAAAAGCUAAGACUUCUACUCCCAGGUUUAGCCACGUGGUAGGCUAAGGGAAGGGAGAAAAAUUUUCUUCCGUUUAUGCCCUGAGAAUCUUGAUUAGUUCUCUGAACAGUGUAUCACUGUUGAGGUCAUUUUUGUCUUUUCACAUGAAAUUACUAUCUUGCCCAGAUAAAAAUAACUAACUCCAAAACAGUAACUUACUGUUGAGGGCUAUUUCUGACUUCUCGCGAAUAGCCUUUUGCUUUAUUUCUCAGUUGUCAUCUUUUCUUAGACGUAGUUGCCAUCACCUCUGUUGUUCUUCACUUCUUUGUCUCCGUUAUCAAAGACAAGAAGUCAUAGGAGUCAAAAAGUCAAAUAAAAAUCUGGAAGUGCACCGAUGUGGCAGGAAAGCAAAACACUCCCUUUCUACUUCAUUUUUACAACUUUAGCCCAUAGGAGUCAAAAAGUCAAAUAAAAAUCUGGAAGUGCAUCGAUGGCAGGAAAGCAAAACACUCCCUUUCUACUUCAUUUUACAACUUUAGCCCAUCAUCUUUUGUUUUCUUCUUCCUUUCUGUCUCUCUCUGUUUACCGUUAAUUUUUCUUUCAGCUUUCUUUUCUCCCACAAAGAGUCAAUUAUGGCUGCCCAUCCAUAUCCGAACUGUGGGAUUGUUCCACAAAAGAUGAUAAUCCUCUUUUCCUUUUCAUUGUUCCCGUUUCUUGGACUAUUCUUCUCUUCGGUGGAAAAAAAGAAGUACAGAAGCAGCUGAAUAGCUUUUAGAAACAGUGGCCAAGAAAUGGGUUGUCCGCCUGCUUCCUCCAACAAUUGGUCAACAAUUUCAGGAUUGGCUUCGCUAAAUUGUGGCUGCUCAUCGGAUUUUUUCGUUAGUCAUUAUCCAUUCCUUUUUAUUCCCCAGCCAUUCUUUUCCUCUUGCUUUGUCUCUUUUUUUCUGUUUGCUGUUCUUUACUUUCCCCCUCCUGUUGUUUCCAGAUCAGUCGGUCAAUCAUUUCAUGAUUUUCUUCCCUAAAUUAUGGCUAUCCAUCCAAUUUUUUUACUUCUGUGCUCUCUAUCAUAUCCCAACCAUGGGAUUGUGGUUUGUCCUUUUGUAUUCAUUUUCAUUUUUCGAUUGAGAAAUUAUUGAGACUCAAAAGAAAAAUCUCUGACAAUUUAUCAGUUUGCAUCUUUAUCCGCUCUGUUCAUGAUGGCUAAUACCAUUGCUAGGGAUAUAGGUUUGUCCUUUUCUUUUCCUUAUUGUUGACCACUUGGCAAAUUAUCUAGAAUGAAGGAAAGUUUGCGCCUUUAUAUUAGGAACAGAAAUACUGGUCACAAAAAACUUCACGCUUCUUCAACCUUGUCAUCUACAACUUUUUGUACUAAAGGUAACUACUACUCUUCUUUGUUUAAUUUUUUUUCCCUACCAGUAUUAAAGAGAUUGGAUAAUCUGUCUACUUGUUAUUUUGGUUGCCAAAUUUCUUGAGGGUGUUAAUUGCACUUUGAAACAAUUGGUGCAGAAAAACUUCUAAUUAAGCGUCCACAGAUUUCCAGUAAGUAGUUGCUUCAAUUUCAGGUCACUCUCUUCAGUCCUUCAGUUUCUUGUUUUUUCUUUUCCUGUUAAUAAUAUGUACAACUGAUUUUGAAGGAAGGGUUGUCACCACUUUCUGAAUAGAGAUAACCAAGCUAAAACAAGUUAAAUUCUCAGUCUGAAGUGUAAGCUGAGAAUAAAAGAUAAAAAGUCUUACACAUUAAGGUUUUGCCCCAUGUUGAAGGUAUUAUGCACAAAAGUUAGGUAGGCGAUAGAAGAAACAAAAUUUAAAACUGAUAAUCCUAAUAUUGAGUUUCUAGGAUUUGUUGUAGCUGGCUUAGAGGUGUGGUAUAUUAAUUUCUCAAAACUAUUUCUAAAGGCAACGUUCCUGGUUCCACAGAACUCUCAAAUCUUAAAACCACAACAUGUUGGCUGAUCUAUUAAUAUUCACGUAUUCUGGAUACAGUUAGUGAUGCAUAAUCGAUUCUAUGAAUACUAUUACACCCAAUUAAAGAUUAUAGAAUCUAUGGCAGUUUCUCUAAAUCCGAGUAUCUAUAAAGCUGGAACAUUAAAAAAAACACGAGGUUUCCUUGAUGAAAUAUGUUUCUUGAUGAACUUUGAACCAUACAACCUGAUAUUUGCAUGAAAAAAUGCGCAGACCUAAUGAAGCCAGAUUGUCUGGUAAGCAACAGAAGUGUGUUGUUUCAUGGCUUAAAAUGACUGUAGUUUUUGGGUUGUAAGUUCAUUUGGUUUCACUUAUUGACUGAAUAUGGCUGAAAAUGAUUGUACCUCUGCAAUCUUUCCUACUAAAACUAAUCACGCCUUUCUUUUUGUCUAAUUUUUUCCUCUGUCAGUAUUACACUUAUUAGAUAGUUUGUAUAGUUUUACGUUGACUGAUAGGAUUCUUCUGCAUGCUAUUUAGAUUGCCAACUCUGUUCAGCGGUUUAGUUGCGGUAUUCCUCUGUCAACAACUUUUUCCCCAAAUUUUGGCUGGUCUUUUGAUUCACAAAGAUCGUAUUCUAUCUCAUCUCUCAAUCAUGUGAUUAUUGCAAAAAAGACAUUUUUGCAGAUUUGAUCUAUUUUCCAGUUAUGAUGACAGAUAGGCUUCUUAGCAAUUUAGGUCUUUACGUUUUAGGGAAAUCUGGAAUCAGAAAGGGAACAUACAUAUUUAUCACUCCUUAUUUUGUCUUGCAAUCUGAGCUCUUACUAUUGGAAGGAAAUAGGAGCAGCAAAAAAUCCCACCUUGCUCUUCGCUGCUUUUUCUCUGAUGCCUUCUUGGGUAAGACAGAUUUUUUCUUUACUUUUUGUUAAUUUCUUUACAUAACAAAUACCAAUAGUAGAUAAAUAAAGAAACUAAUGUAUACACAUUAUUGAUCAUAGUCUCUUUUUGGAUUUUAUCUUCGUUGACAAGGUUUGUUUCAUUUUUUUAAGUUUUUUAUUAGAUGUUCUUCAUUUUGUUAUUUCUUUUUCUCAUCUUUUUUAUUAAAUGAUGUUCUGAUGUUUGAGUUUUUUUUUUGGUUGGUGGUGUUUGUUUUGGUUGCAAGCAAAUACAGAUGUUCAAACAAGUCAAGUAUGUGAAAUCUCAUAGACUAAUGACUAUCAAGCGUUUGAUGAAAUGUCUAUAUGAAACUUGGGAUAAUUAGUAGAGAAAAUGUGGAGAGAAAGAUUACACAGGUAAAUUCUAUUUUGCUCUAUAUCCUUUUUUUUUCUAUGGCCAAUUCUUUUUGUGUUUUCUAGGGCACUUUAUCUUUCCUUUUCGACCUUUUUUGGUUCUGAUCUUGAUCUCAUGUUGCUCAUUCUAUGUUGACGUUCGCUAUAUUUUUGCUAGUGAUAGAUGUCAUAUGGAAGUUUAAUUUUGAUCUUUCAGUUUGAUUUUUGAAAAAUUUUGUUCAUUCUUUCAACCUUUAUAUGCCUUUCAAGUUCAAUUUGGUCCAUGUAUACUUUCAACUCUUCAUCUUUUCGUUACUUUUCCAGAAUCUUUUUUGUGGCUGAGCUAAGAUUUCUUAAAAAUGACUUUGAUGUCUAUGCCUUUUGAGGAACAUGAUUACAUAGGCUUAUCAGAGGUUCCUGCAAUGGAAAGUUCUGAAAAGAAUAAUGCUCUGCCUUUGGGAGAUAAAUAAGAAAAUAAAAUGAUGCAUUGUCCUGCGUGCUAUGGGAGGGGUCUAAUUGCUCAGAGAUGGGUUUGAUACAAUGUAAAGUUGUAUUCCAUACUCUGACUUUGUUGUAUCUGUAGGGAGAGUUCAUACCAUAAACUGAAAGUUACACACUUCAUAGUUUAGCUAUGUUAGGCCCAUCUUGAUCGUUAGCAGCUUUCUCUCUGCAAUUAUUGUUAUCGGAUAUAAGACUUUCUAUGUAGCUGAUAGCUUGUCAAAAAAUCUCCAUGCAGAUGCUUAAAAUGUAAUGGGAUGUGUAUGGUGCCUUGAGUAACUUGUGGUUCUUGUGGGCCUAUCAAAUGUGUGACGUGCAUGGGUGGUGGUUCUCUUUUGACUCACAAAGUGGGUAUUAUCAGAUGGUAUGGCCUAUGUUGUUUUGCACAAUAUAUUUGGCAUGCCAUAUCUCUUAUAGAUUUUAGGACAUAACUAAAAGAACAUUUUGGAUUUAGUUUAAAAGAACAUAACUAAAUGAACUUGUUAUCAUGAUAGGUAAAUUGAUUUUGAAUCUAGCCUGAAGCAUUUUGGGGAAAAAAUUGUUAAAAUGCUAAAAGAACAUAACUAAGUAAAAGUUGGGGUUCAGUUUGUCAUUAAAAGUUGGUCCCUAUGCACAUUCCUCAUAGGUAAGGGCCAUUUAGUCCAUGAUCCAUUGGACAGUCAGUUCAGGGCCAGAUAUUGAAGCAGUGCCAUCUGAUUUCUUUUGAAUAAUUUUAUAACUACUUUUUCAGUUUGUUGGUUCAUUCAAGAAUGACAAGUAUGUUGGUUCAUUCAAGAUCAUUCAAGAAUGGCAAGUCAAGUAUUCACAGAAUCUUCAUUGGACAAACUUAAAUGUGCUAGGCUUGAAACCCUCCUUUGAAGUAAUUGUCAUGGAUGGCCAAGUACACCCUGUGGACAUGCGUACUAGGUCACUUAAGCCUGCAACAACUUUGGCUUGUGAUUUAUGUGUUUGGAUGCUAUGUUGAGAUCCCUACCAAAGCUAAAAGAACUUUAGUGAACCCGACCAGAAAAUUUGAAAUCACUCUGUCCACAAGAUUUAUUGUUUCGGUUUUGUUGUUUCUUGCAUGGCAUUCCUUCAAGUUAUGCUGUUUGCCUAUUUCAAUCUGCCUCAUAGUUGUGCCAUGAUGGAGAAAUAAAGGAAAACAUAAUUGUUUUAAGUACCGAUUAUGCAUUUUGUCUGUGUUUUUGGCUGUCCAGGAACACUUUCAACUCGGAAGUGAGCGCAACAAGUAGAGCUGCUACAGUUCCUGACGAUGUUUUCCACAGAGUGCAAGACAUCCAGUUGUGCAAUACCCAAGCCUACCAAUGCACUCCUGCUUUUUUUGCCGAUUCAUUCUUCCUCAACAAGUUUUCCUCUGAAGUAACUGCAGAAAGGGCUUCGGUCCCUCAUACUGCAAGGGUUAUAGUGAGAGACAUAUCAUCUCUAUUGUCCCAGUCACUCGUGUGACUAUGGCCCAUCAUAAUUGCUCUUUCAGUUUCUAUAUUAUCAGAAACGGUAGAGAAGUUUAUCUCAAGGACUAUCCGGCUAGGUUCUGUUGGGGCCUGUGCCCAUGCUUUGAGUGGUUGAAAUCAGAAGUUGCUGUUGUUACUCCUGAGGUCCUUCACUUGCUAGAUUGAAAUGAUUUCCAGAGGACAGAUAUUUUAGUUUUUGCUCAAAAUUGGGAAGAUAGAAUCAGUUCAAACAUGUUAAUGGGUUAUGCGUUGAGUGAAUGAGAUAUUGUACGAAUCAAGAUUUUUUUGUGCUCAUGCAAAAAUAGAAGUUAAGCUGGUAACUACAACCAGAAAUGCUAGCACAUAUAAAAUGGUGCAAGUAUUGCAAUGAGUAAAUGGUCCAAUGAGGAUGGUUUACAUUCUGUAUGUUGUCAACUAUAUUCUCUGCACAACAAUUUCAUCGUUAGACGUUCUAUUCAACUUAAAUGAAUAAUCAUCUAAUCAGAUUAGUAUUUUUUAAGGUUCCAAACGAGUAGUUUAAUUUUUUAUUUUUAAAAUUUAUGAUAUGCAUCUCCAUACAUCUAUAUAGGAAAACCAAAUACCUCUCCUGCAUAUUUAGCCCAACACAUUGGGCAUUGGCUGUGCGUUGCACAGCCGAAAAAGUUUCUAGUAUAUAUAUAUAUAUUUUUUUUUUUCUUUGGCGGGUGCUUUUGGUGUUUAGUACUAGUGUGCUAUUUUUUUGAUGUGUUAUGGGGGAGUAAAUAUAUGCUACCAAAAAUACCUACCACAAAUGUUUGUAACCACUAAUAAUUGCAGCUGACAAUAAUAGUAUAGCAACAUUAAAUGUCAACACUAAAACCAUAAAUAGUUACUCCCACUAAUUUGCUCCCACUUUUAUAACAAUAAUAAAAGGGAAGAAAAAAAAUACCCUUCAAAAGGUGUGAGUGAUGAUCUCCAGUCGUAAGAAGCUCUUCCUGAUCUGAUGCAUUGAAUAAGUAGAACAGCCAACUUUUUGAUUCAACCAUGUGCAGACUGCGGAAUACCAGAAAGUUGUGCGAGUAGUAAAAGUUAGUCCUGUUGUUCCAAGACUUUUGAAAACUACUCUUACUCUCACUGAUAUUUGACACGUAACUGGCCCCUUCCCAACCCCACCACAUACGCACACGCAAUCAGAUGAACAGCUGGUUCAGGAUUUAGAACGUAGGCCAAAAAAAAAAAAAGAGUUUGUUUUUUCAUUUUUACAACAGGCUAUCGAGUUCGCUGUAGAUCUUCGUCUUCUUCUCCAGAAUUCAGAUUUCAGAAUUUAGAAAUGUUACUGGCAGUGUGGUUGUUUUGUUUAUUGACUCUAUUCGAGUAUAAACUGUAAUCAGCCAUUUGUAUCUAACAAAUUUCAACGAGAAAAAAGAUCAGUUGUUUGUUUACUGACAGGAUGAUUGUUUUAUUUAUUGAGCCUUUCUGGAAAGUGUUAAGUUGUAAUCAGCCAUUCGUAUCUAACAAAUUUCAACUAGAUCAUUAAUAGGUCUAAGUUGGUGCUUUGGUUCCGAGCAGUGAAAGCAUGUGUGUGUUUGUCCUAGCUAAUUGUUGUGCAAAAUUUUGAUAGAUAAGAGCUUGUUAAAGUAAAGUACCGCUACUCGCUUACCAUUGUCGUUCAUAUGUUAAACUCGAUUUGAUACUGAAAUCACGAGAUCAAGAAAACCAUUACUUCCGCUGUGCUCUAAGAGAAGCCCGCAAUUAGUCGAACUCCGUGAUAUUUUUUUAAAAAAAAUUUGUUUCCCAAACCAUCGAAGCAUAUGAAGGGUCGGCUGCCAUCGAUAAUGAAUCUCUUCUGAUUGCCAAGUUUUCUAACCAAACUAAUAAGUCAACCCAGAAGUUCAGAAUUAUUUUAAAUGUUAAACAAUGGAAGUCAACCGUUCGUAAAUAUGUAGUGCAUUUUUUUUUUUAUAAAAACAAAAAAAAAAAUUCUCCAUAUAUUCAAGAUGUUUAUCCCAAAAGUUAAAAAGAGAACAAAGGGAAGGGACAAGCUUUGAAGAUAUCGGGUGGGGCCCCGCCUCAGUAUGAAAUGUGAGGUGGGCAACUGUAAAGUUCCCAACCACUGCCCGUGGAUUUGCGUUGUAUUGUCGUUAUAAAGCUUUUGCCCUUUUCCUUUUUCCCCCUGAAACCAAGAAUAUGCGAUCAGUGCAAAAAUUCUUACUAACAAAAUCUUAAAAAAAAAAAAGAUCCUAAAACUUUUAGGGUGACGGUAGUUUUAUUGAAGAUUAAACUUUAUCCCUUAAGAACUCGUGAAGCUUCUGUCUUUCGGGAGACUAAACGCCGACUUUAAAGGGUAAUAAUUCUCAAGUCCCAUGAUGCUCGGCCAAUAGUUUGGGAAAUAUAUAUUCCUUCUGCUAUAUGGGAAAACAGAUUCCAUCAUCCGCGAACACUCUUGAGGACCAAAUUCAAUCAAUAACGAGGAAAAGAAGUUCUAUAACCAAAAGAACCAUAUUUAGACUUUGUACUUAGCACAAAUUUUGAUGUUGAUGGGCGUCCAAACUUCCCAAACUCUGGCUGUUGUUGUUAUAAAGCUUCUGUCACAGUACUAUACUAAAUGCUGUGCAGAUAAUUAUUAACCCCCCAAUCCGGGUGGCGGGGUCCCGUUCCGUUGACAAGAGGAAACCACAGGCUAUACUAUAAAUUAAUAUUUAUACUACACCACCAUGGAUGGAAGUCAAUCCCUUCCUCUUACUGGAAGAUAUUGAAUAUAUAAGAUGCAUUGAUUGAUUUCAUUUUGUUCUCCAAACUCCAAACCCUCUGCUACUGCCUUAUCUUGUGAUACAGUGCCGGUAGUAGUAUUAAUUUAUACCAAGAGCCAUACCGUCAUAUCUCCUUACCCGUCUCUUUCGCGUAGUGGUCCAAAGACCAAACUAAUAGUAUGGUACUCUUAGUUUGGAUAGGAAAUUAUUUGGAAUAAUUACUGUAAUACUUUUUAUGAUGUGAUGUAUGUAAGAUAAAAAAAAGGGCAGUUUUUUUCGAAUGUUGCUUUCAGUGUUUUGGUAAAAUAAUGUAGCUGCCUGAAAUACUUAUAAUAAAAAAGGUAGAAAGAUUUGCUAUUCGUUUGGAGUCAAUUUGUGUGCGUGGAGAUUCUAAUAUCUGAUCAACUAAACCGAUUGUCAAACUUAAGUUUGAUUAAGACUGAGACUGAAAAAUGCUUCGGUAGAAUACUUUUAGUUAAAACAGAGAAAGGAGAUGACUGAGGGAACUAGAUGGAACUGGAACGAUGCUUUACACUUUCCUAGUUCUUGCGUUUGUUUGGCAAGAUAUAGAGAAGACUUAGGUCGGCUUUUGCAUGUUUAGAGGCAAUAUCUGAGACAGAGAACUAUUAAUAAUACAUAGUUAUCGAAGGAAGGAAAAAGGGAACAUGCAAAAGAAUGGCAUGUCAAAUUUGUUGGAUAGAUUAAUAAUGUGCAAGUCAAACGCAAAGGGGGAAAAAAAACAAAUGAAAAAUCAAUAAAGUAAUGAAACGGCUAACGAAGAUUAUCACUACAAACCUCUUCAACAUUUAGAAAUUUCCCAUGUUUGAUAACAGAAAUACUUUUAACAUUUAAUGUAUUAAACAUUUCUUAAUUCACGCGUUGAAUUUUAAGUGAAAAUUUUUCACUAAAUCUUCUAAAUUGAUUAUACAUAUUAUACCUAUCACGCACAUAAUAUGCUCUCGUACCAUUUUUGCAAAUGGUAUACGAUUACUUCAUAUACACACAAGCAUGCACGCGUACUCUCUUACUUAUAAAUACACACACUUGAACGUUAUCUCUGAAUUGUUUCAUUAUUUUCUCUCUUUCACACACGCAUUUUUCUUUUCUUUUAUCCUCUCCAAAUAUACAAAUAAAAGUAAUAUUUUUUAUAGAUAGAAACAUAAUAUUUGUAUGAUAUUUCAAUUCAGCACUUAAUUUUCAUAUUUUAGAAUUCAAAUUUUAAACUUCAAUUCUAUCAAAUGGGUCCAUGUUUUGAUUUUGUAGAGUUUGCACACUGGAAUUCCUAUUCACAAAAGAAAUGAGCGCGAGGAUACUUUCUUUUGAAGUAAAAAUAAAGAAAAGGAAUAUAGUGGUUAACUUUUUUAUUUGAAGCUUUAAAAUUUAUCUAAAUAUGGACUUAAUUAAUUGAAAGGAAAUAAAUACAUUUAAUGAAUUUCUAUUUGGUCCAUCGUUCUUUUCCAUUAACGUAUGGCUGGUAUUUUUGUUUCUUCCCAUUUAUGUGUAGGAAAACAUAAUGCAUUUAUAUUACUCCAUUUUGCCUUCUUUUUUGCUAUGUAAUAAUUAAUAUAAUUCCCUCUUAAUUCCUAAAUCCAAUGAUGGAUACUGCUGAAAUGUGGACUGAAUGCAUAUUUGGUAUACAAUUUUUUUUAGGCAAGCCAUCCAAAAUAGAAAUAAAAAACCUACUACAAAAAAAAUAGUAAAGAAAGUUUCAACUUGCCGAGAGCAAAAAGGAGUGAUAAUAACUGCAUGAAUAAAUCUUAUAUACACUGUCACCGUUUGAUUCAUGACAUGCGUGUAAAAGUUGAAUUUUAAAUUCAAAUUUUGCAUAGUUAUCAUUCAUCCAACGCUGAUAGUGUAUAUCUUAUCAGUGUAGGAAAGAUUAAUCAUAACUACACCACAUAAAAUCUUAGCAAACAUAACUCUUAAGACGUUUGAUGCAACGAUCAUUAAAAAAAAAAAUUAAGAAGUUCCUAUAAAAUAGCCAUCUAGAUGUCACUUAUACUAUUAGUUAACAGUAUAAAACUUAAUCGCAUUAUAAAGUUUCCCAAAUUUUAAACUCUUAAAGAUUACAUAGCGUUUAAGGACUAGUUUGGGAGUUUAGGAAAGAAAAGAAAAGAAUUGCAAGCUUGAUGAGUUAGAAAGGGAAGACAUUUUGAAGUCAUACGGGUAUAUUAUAAUGGAUAAUUAUGGUAAUUUAAAUCCUUUUAAUAUUCACUUUCAUUUUUCUUUCCACUUUAGGAGAGACAGUUUUGUUGAGAUUUUAUCCUUUUGUUUUCCAUUUGAAGCUCACAAACAGGGGAAAUCCUCAACGUUAUCUUCUUACCUGUAUUUCCAUCUCCUGAAUAAGGGAAUUUAUUUAUUUAUUUAUUUUCUCCCCAUUCUCUCAACCCAAACCGUAAAUGAGAAAAGGGCAUUUCGACCUCUAUAACAAACACAGCCUAACCCCCAUAUUUCCCGGCACCCGAAAUUAGAUCCAGAUGGGGGACAGAGAGGGCACUUUCUUUUUAAUAUACUGCUUCACGUCUCUUUACUGUAGCUUUCGGUUCAAAUAAAGUUACCUUUAUUUUUCUGUUCUCAAAAAAAAAAAAAAAAAAACCCCAGGAAAUUUUCUUUCUUUAUUUUUUGUUUUCAUUUUUCUCCCUUUUACUCUCUUUCCAAGAUAGCUUCUACCAGUACUUAAAAAACAUAUAUGCUGGCAGACUCUCUCUCACUCUCUCUGCACACACUCACACACACAAAUUAACAGCUACUAAUAACAUGGAUGCGCACACACUCACCGAGUUUGGAUACCCAUAAUAAAUAAUAAUCUAUAAGUAUUACCCACAAAUAUAUAUGUGUGUGUGUAUAUAUAUACAUAUAUCUAUAUUUAUUUGUAGUGUUGUAUCUAGAUGCAUGUAGCUCACUUUCCUGUAGUAGAAUUUAAUCAACGCGUGGCCUGUUGAAAGCCUCUGAUCUUUGCUCUGAAACAGAGGAGGAGAGAGAUAGAGAGAAAAAGGGUAAGAGAAAGAGAGAAAAAGGCUUACCAGGUGGAGGAGGAGGAUGAGAAGGUAAAAGAUUUACAAAACCCUAAAAAGUCAUGUACUGCAUCUUUGCCACUUGUCAAAUCAGUUUCUGACACCCGUACGUAAUUGCGUAUGCAUAUCCAUAUACGCCUGUGCAUACGUGUGUCUAAUUUCUGCUCUGUCUUGUUGGAUUAAUUACUGGGAGAUACGUCAAAUGGUUCAUUUUCUUUACUAUCUAGAUUUCAGAUCCAUAGCAGUAAGUAUCAAUUUACGUCUAAUUAAUGAUUUUCCAAAUGUUUGUUGGGGAUUGAAUGUUGCGCCUCGAGGAUUAGGGUUUUGAUUCUGCAAUUGGUGGUUGCUUUUAUUUGGAUUGUGCUUUUAAGACCUGCUUGCUGUUUUUGGUGCUUUUAUUGCGGGCUUGUUUUUAAUAUCUUGUUGAAUGGAAUCUUGUAGGCACUUGCAGUAUUAGAUUAAUUAAAUUUAUGUUUUUUUUUUGGUCGAAGAAAAAAUGAAUUGAUUUGCUUUUUUUCUUUUUUUCUUUUUUAAAUUGUUGCUCUCGCAUUUCAUGCAUGACUUGAAAUUCAUUAGGCGAAUGUUUCUAACUCAGCGCACUGAUUAUUAGUAUAUUAUAUGCGCAUACCCUUUUAUCUACAAACACCAAAAGCUGUGUUCUUUUGUCUGUAGUCUUUUUGUUUAAGUUUUUCAAAUUAUCUCUUUUACUUUAAUGGCCUCUUCUCAUGUAAUCUUAUGGAAUUUUUUCUUCUGGGUUUUGAAUGCCAUUGCCAAUUUAUGCAAGGAAUUGGAAAGUUGUGGUACUUGAGAUGGAUUAAUUUCACACAGUUAUCUGUAAUUUUCAACUAUGCUAGGUAUCAAUGUUUAUGGUAAACCCAGUUUUUAGAGUGUCGAUCAUUUUGACCUUCUUUUGACAUGCAAGAUGGAAAAUUAUCUGCGUCAUGGAUCAGGGUUGCUAUUUAAUGCAUUCUACUUUAUCAGGUUUACGUCAGGAGUUUUGGCAAGGAGGGCAUUUUGGACAAAAGUCUUUUUGCAGCAUGCCAGAUUUCAAACGGUGGUAUUUAUUUCACGGUGGAUCUAACUGGUUAGCCGGAGUCCGGAGUUUCGGGGGACACAACCAUCUCUGAUCUGGUAGAGAAUUUUCUUCAAAGAAAAUGAAGUGUAUGAAAUCAAUUUAAUUGGGAAGGGUUGUGAGUGCUACUAGCUUCAAAGUCAAAUUUUUUGGUUCAUCAGUUGUAAUCUGACUGGUUGUUCCUAUUGGCUUGAUCAAGUUUACAGGUGUUAUGCCAGAUUCUUUUUAAAAUUCAUGGCUGUCAGAUUUGUGUUUGUUCUUCAUAGUCUGGAGUGAUGAUGAAGGAAUUAGGUUUUUUUUUCUGUCUGAGCCAAGUUAGUAACAUUGAUCAUACAAGUUGCUUGUGCUAUUCUGCAUGACUGCUGGGGUUGAUUGGCAUCUCCUCAGAUUACUUUUGUGAAGACUGGCUAUGUAAAUAGUACUUUAAUAGAAUCUGUUGCUUCUCCAGCUAUCUCGAUGCGCAAUUAACAAUCAGAAUCUUGUGUAAUGAACUCUUUUGGAGGAAAAAAAAAGAUGGAAUUUGACACUUUGACGGACAACCGUCAGCCUAGCACUCUUCAGCGGCUAUUUCCAGCUGUUGUACCAGUAGUUUUUAUUGCAAUCAGCUAUGUUGAUCCUGGAAAGUGGGCUGCAGCUGUGGAGGGUGGCGCACACUUUGGGGUUGAUUUGGUGUUUCCAGUACUUAUUUUCAAUUUUGCUGCCAUUCUUUGUCAAUACCUAUCAGCUCGUAUAGCGGUGGUUACUGGUAGAGAUCUCGCCCAGGUACUUACUGAUCCUUUUUGCAGUCUAAUUCCCAAUUUAUGGAUAUGGUACUGGUGACUCGCAUAUACAUGUUCUUAUCUUCUUUCCUGUUAUAUUUUGUCUCAUGGGAACUUUUUUGUACUAGAAGUUGAUACUGUUGUGUCCACUGCAGGACCUAAGUUAUGGUUUUGUUGCUUGUCUAUAGUGAUUGCACCAUCUGAAUGACCCUUUACAUCUUGUAGUUGGGGCAGUAAACUUUUUGAAUGUUACACUAGGAAAACCUUUUAGUAUCUGUUAAUGUAUACCAUUCUCAUCCAACCAUGAACUUUUGUCAUGCAAGGUCUUCAGAAGUUGUAUUCCCUUCUUUAGACUCACUUGGUUUUGUGAAGGUCGUUGAUCCGGUUUCCUUGUUCAGUCAACGAAAUAAGCACAAUGCUUACAGCCCAAAGUUAUAUGGAGCCCUGCCGAUUGAGAUAUAUAUUAGCCUAUUAGACUAGCCAAGAGUGUAUUUCACAUAUUCACCUCUCUGUGUUUUUCGCCAUAGCUCCCUAUUUCUCGACCUCCGUUAAAAGUUUUAUGAUAUCAUUAUUAUAUCCUAUACAUUUCUUUUGAAUCAUCCCAUUCCUCCUUUGACUGACUGAUUGACGAGGCUUCUUUGGUGUUCCAAGAUUUGCAGUGAGGAAUAUGACAAAAUCACCUGUAUGCUAUUAGGAGUUCAAGCUGAGAUCUCAAUUAUUGCAUUGGACCUAAUGAUGGUAAUUUUUAAGAUUUCAUGACUUAUUUAGAAACUGUGGCUUUGACCAUUUCGUAUUCAUAACAGUUUCUAUUUUUAUUGCAGGUUUUGGGAACUGCACAUGGGCUUAAUGUUCUGUUCGGAAUUGACCUUUUCACGGGUGUCUUUCUGACUGCUCUUAAUGCUGCCUUAUUUCCACUUCUUGCUACAGUCCUUGUAGGUCUUGUUGCCUGUGUGUUUUCAGUAUAUCAUUCUUAUCGUCCAUCUUAUUCUGAGUAUUGUCAUUCUUGUUUCUAUGAUUCCCAGGAAAACAGCAGAGCAAAAUAUCUAUCCAUAUGCAUCUCAAUAUUUGUCUUAGUGUCAUAUAUUUUUGGAGUAUUGGUUAGUCAACCGGCAAGUCCACUCCCCUUGGGUGGGACAGUGACAAGGUUAAGUGGGGAAAGCGCCUUUGCUUUGAUGAGUCUUCUUGGAGCAAGCAUUAUGCCUCACAACUUUUACCUGCAUUCUUCAGUUGUGCAGGUCUCCUCUCCCUCUUCCUCUCCACUCCCUCCCUCUCUCUCUCUCUCUCUCUCUCUGCAUGCGUGUGUGUGAGAGAGAGAUAAUACGUGCAUAUGCACUCUGUGAUGCAUGGCCAUCAUCCGGUGGUCUUUUCUUUUUUGGAAAUGUUUUGUGUAUCUGCUUAUUGUUAUGUUUUACCAUCCUUGCAGCUGGAUCAGGGGCCAAACAAUGUUCCCAAGGAAACCUUGUAUCAUGACCACUUUUUUGCCAUUUUUUGCAUUUUCAGUGGCAUUUUCCUGGUCAAUUACGUGCUUAUGAACUCAGCUGCAAAUGUGUUCUAUAGUACCGGUCUUUUGUUGCUUACUUUUCAGGAUGCACUGUCCCUGUUGGAUCAGGUUGAUUCUCUCAUCUCCUCAGUUUCAUUUAUUAAUAACACGCAUUAUGCAUGUCAAUACUGGGACUACAUUUAAAGUUUGGCUUACUAUUGAUGCAGGCAUUUAGGAGUUCAAUUGCAUCAUUUUGUUUGAUAAUGUUAAUGUUCCUUUUGAGUCAAGUGACUGCAUUGACCUGGAAUCUUUCUGGACAAGUUGUUGUGCGCGAACUUUUUAAAAUGGAUAUUCCUGGAUGGCUUCAUCAUGCCACAAUCAGAAUUAUUGCAAUCAUUCCAGCCCUUUACUGUGUGUGGAAUUCAGGAGCUGAAGGUAUAUACCAAUUGCUGAUAUUCACACAGGUUGUGGUCUCUCUUAUGCUUCCAUCUUCUGUUAUCCCUCUCUUCCGAGUAGCCUCCUCCAGACAAUUAAUGGGUAUCCAUAAAAUUUCUCAACGGGAGGAAUUUUUAGCUCUGAUCACAUUUAUUGGUAUGCUUGGUCUUAAGAUUAUAUUUUUUAUAGAGCUAGUAUUCGGUGAUAGUGAUUGGGUGAGUAACUUGAGGUGGAAUAUCGGGAGUAGUGUGCCAGUUGCUUAUGUUACUCUUCUUCUUGCUGCUUCUGUCUCCUUCUUUCUGAUGCUUUGGUUAGCAGCCACUCCAUUGAAAUCAGCCACCUCCAGAACAGAUGCUCAGGCAUUGGACUUGGAUAUGCAUCCUACUGUGCUAGAGUCCGGUACAGAAGGAGAGCAAAAUGAUGUCCUUGUACCGAAAUAUCAGAUAGAUAAGCCUACAGGCAAGCAAGAACCACCAGUGACUUUCGAGAAAUCCUUGGGUUCGAGUCGUAAUCUCAGUUUGCCAGAGACAAUUUUUGAUUCUGAGAAUGUCCUUCCUUUGACAACUAUUGAGGAGAAUAAAUCUGAAGUUACAAUUCCAAGUCCCGGCUGUUCUCAGGAGGCAUCUCCAAUUGUGCUUGACAGGAAUUUGGAUGCACCUAUACAUGGUGAUAUUUCUGAUGGUCAGUCACAGAAUUCUCAGGCCUUGAAAACUGAUACAACAGACCUGGCGGAAAAGACACUGCAAGUAGAGAGGGACAUACAGACUGUGAAGGAUGAUGGAGAAUCUUGGGAGCUUGAAGAACCAACCAAAGAGGUUCCCGAGAUGAACCAGUCAUUGACAUCUGAGGGUUCAGGAUCAUUUAGAAGUCUCAGUGGAAAAAGCGAUGAUGUUGGAAGUGGCACAGGUAGUCUCUCGAGAUUAGGAGGUCUAGGCCGUGCAGCAAGGCGCCAAUUUGCUGCUGCUCUUGAUGAGUUCUGGGGACAAAUGUUUGAUUUACAUGGACAAGCCACAAAAGAAGCAAAGGCUAAGAAACUGGAUCUGUUACUGGGGUUAGAUCUCAAGUUAGAUGCAAAGUCUUCAUCAGCAUCUGUCAAGUCGGACAGCAGUAGGGCUGAUUUUACUGGAUGUUUUCCAUCUUUGAGUGGACAGGGAUCUGAUUCUUUGAUCAGUUCAAGUUUAUAUAACUCUCCAAGACAGCAGAUGGGGCAAAGUCUGAUUGAGCCUUCCUUUGGGGUUCAGAGGGGUUCCUCUCCCUUGUUGUCAUCGCCUGUGCAACUUUUAGGUGCAUAUGUGCGGAACUCCAGUCGCAACACUCAUGACUCUGGUGAAAGGCGAUAUUCUAGCAUGCAUAUUCCUGCAUCCUCAGAUGGCUAUGACCAACAGCCGGUUACUGUUCAUGGGCAUGAGCUUGCCUCUUAUCUCAAUUGGAUAGCAAAGGAAACAGGUUCCGGGAUAUUGAAUGGUCAAAUGGAGUCACCAGCACCAAUAUCCACGUCCUCUAUGUCGUCAUCUUUCAGAGAGUCAUUUGCUCGUCCUGUAGGAAAGAGACCCCAGAAUGGGAUGAGUAUCUCAAGGCCGCCUGGUUUUCACAACGUCUCUGUUUCUAGGAAUAAUUUUUUGCAGUCAGAGAGAUCAAUGUACGACGUUACUUCCCCAAAACCUACUGAAAACCCAAAUAGUUCAAUCAAUUUGAAGAAAUUUUACAGCUUGCCCGAUAUAUCUGGUUUUCGAGUACCCUAUCAAGAGUCUACAUUAUCAGAUAAGAGUGGUAAAUGGGAUAAUUCAAUGGUAAAUGCGCAGUCAGUUGGGUCAACCUAUGAUAGAACCUCUUUGACUGUUUCGUCACGGACAGAAGCUCCUCCAGGAUUUCAUGGACGUUCUCCCUCAAAAGUUUGUAGAGAGCCUUUUUCUUUACAAUUCAGCUCAAGAUCAAGCACUGGGUCUCUUUGGUCUAGACAGCCUUAUGAACAGUUUGGUGUGGCUGAUAGAACUCAUGCUGAAGGUGAACAGGUGAAAGGUUCAUAUGCUCAAGAGUCUGCCUCUGCAAUUGAUUUUGAAGCAAGGCUUCUUCAGUCCUUCAGACAUAGUGUCGUGAAACUUCUGAAACUGGAAGGAUCUGAUUGGUUGUUUAGACAGAAUGGUGGGGCUGAUGAGGAUCUUAUUGACCGUGUAGCUGCAAGGGAAAAAUUCCUGUAUGAAGCUGAGACCGUGCCGAUGAAUUGGCCAAGUAAUGUUGGUGAAGCUCAAUUUUACUCUGAUAGGAAGUCUGGUUCUGCAGUUAAAAGUGAUGACACAGAUUAUACCAAGUUCUCAGUAACAUCAGUUCCACACUGUGGAGAGGAUUGUGUUUAUAAGGUAGAUCUGAUAAUUAGUUUUGGCGUAUGGUGCAUUCAUCGGAUAUUUGAGCUGUUGCUUAUGGAAAGCAGGCCAGAGCUUUGGGGAAAAUAUACUUACGUACUGAAUCGCCUCCAGGUAUGAAUUGUGUGUGUGUGUGUGAGAGAGAGAGAGAGAGAGAGAGCACAUUUUUCUCUGCUUCUAUGGAUCUCUGUCUUUUGCAGUUUACUUUGCAAAUGCUAUAAAUAGCUUGUUGAUAAAAACUAAUCUUGCUAUUUGCUUGAAGAACUUGUAGCAGUUACUAAAAUUUUUCUUGUCAUUCUCUCCGGCCCUUCCCUUGUACUAUUUUGCUGGAAACUCGUUGCUUGUCAUUUAUUUGGUGACCUGAUUUUCCCUAGAAGUUCUUUUUACUUGGUUGCAUCUAAUCAUCAGCUGAUAAAGUGAUUGUGAUGCAUUCUAUUUGCAACAGGGGAUUGUUGUUCUGGCAUUUUUUAGGCCUCGUACGCCAAUGACUCCCUGCUUUUGCCUUCAACUCCCAGCUGGAUGGCAGCAGAAAUCAAGUCCACCAAUUUCGAAUGGAAGCUUGCCCCCACCUGCAAAACAGAGCAGGGGGAAAUGCACGACUGCAGCAUCACUUUUGGACAUAAUAAAGGAUAUUGAAGUUGCCAUCUCUUGUCGGAAGGGACGAACAGGGACUGCAGCUGGUGAUGUUGCUUUCCCUAAAGGGAAAGAAAAUUUGGCAUCAGUUCUCAAACGGUACAAACGUCACUUAUCAAAUAAGCCAAUUGGAUCCCAGGAUGGUGGAUCUGGUUCACGCAAGGUGUCAUCAUCCUUAUAUUAUGGUUUAUAGCCCUUGUUUUCAGUUCAUGGCAACUUGGUGUAUGAUAUUUAGGUUGCUCAAUUCGAAAUGCCUCUAUCCUUAAACAUGAGUGGUCCUUGGUUGCUGUGAACUUUUUCUUGCGCUCCCUCCUCCCUCCAUGUGCAUUUGUAUCUUUGAUGAUGCUGCUUCGGUUUUUCUUGCAAGUCAAUGUAUACAUAGGAUAAAGUGUGUUAAAUGCGUUAUUGCAGCAAUGAAAGAAGGGUAGAGAAAAAGGUGAGAGAUAAUUGUUGCAAAUGCAGUUCCCACCCACCAGCACGAGGCACAGGAAAUGACAAAUCGGGAAAAAUGUAAAAAUAGAUUAGUCUUUUUUAGACUUGUAGCCUGAGCCUGCGUUGUUUUUCUUUUUUCUUUUUUUUUUUUUCCGGAGAGGCGGAUGUGUUAGUUUUAUAUAUAUUUUUUAACAAUUCAGAAGAUGUAAAUAUUUUGAACUCAGCAUCCUUUCCACAAAUCGAGCAGUAUUUAGGGAGACAGGCUUGUUGAAGCUCGAACAGCUCGAGAGUUCGAAUGUGUUUCAUUUCAACUCGCGUCAAGGUUGGUUGAAGGGUGCACUGUUCGUUCUCUCCAGCUUGGUUUGGGGUAUACACACCUGUGCUACACGUAGGGAAUGGUGGGUGGAUCAAGGAUUGGGCCGGGCAUGGGCUAAAAUGCUUCAGUAUUUAAGGCAAGCACUGGCCCAACUUGUAAUCGUCCAAGGAUUGAGUCGGGCCAGGAUUGUGCUAAAAUGCUUCACAAUGAUAGUUGUGUAACUUAAUUUGUUAGAAUGAAUUACAGUUGGCAAUAGGAUUAUGAAUUAGGACAUCAAAAAUGGGUUGGAGGGCUUUGGAGUCCAAACACAAGUCCUUCAUCUCCUGGUGGCCAACUGGGGGACUGGCCUACAGAAAACAAAAGUUUUGAUGAAUUAGACAGCGGCACUUCUUUGUGGAAUAACAUGACAAAGUGAUGUCAGAAGAGGAGGCAUUUCUAGGGGUUAGUUUUCUUGAAAAGCUUGGGUUACCUAUUAUUCUUAAGCCAAAAACAAAAACUACUCCACUAGGGAACUCAAAACACAUUUAUUAUUGCAACCGCGACAUCAAGUUGCCCGUUCUCCUCCCACCGUCGCGAGAGGCAAACUUGGAUUUAUGCGUUUCGUCAUCUGCCACGGCCAUGACCUGCCAACGUUUUCUUUCAACAAAAACAAUUGCAGCCGUCAAAAUAAUUUGCAACUACCGACAACACUGCCUGCUAGUAGUUCUUAUUCUUAUAUAGUAGUACUAUUUUGCUUUUUAUGAAAUCACUCCUUUUUAGCUUCUUGUACAUAUUCUUAUAUUUUGCUUUUUAUGAAAUCAUUUUCCUUACAAAUUAGCCAUCCAUCUCAUCUACGUGUUGCCCGAUUUAGGGCCCUGGACAUAUUGACCCUUGCGCUAACGAAUUUCUCACCUUAUCAUUUUUAUCUUUCCCGCGGGCGCUGAAUUCUGAGUAGAAGGGAGGUCGUCAAUCUUUUUGAGGUGUCUGGCUGUGUUGGCGCAGCCACAGAGAGAGAGAGAGAUAGAGAGAGAGAAGGUACGUACGUUCUUGAAUUUCAGCUGGGUAUCUAUCUAGUAUUAUUCUAUUUGUCCUUGUACUGCUCUCCCUUUCGGUCUUUUCCUUUUGUGCUUUUGAGUUUUAGUUCAAUAGUUACGGUCUUUUUGGUGUGCUUGAACUUUAAUUGGGGAAGCGUAUGGGGAAUUAGCGUAAUUGCGCACUUUGGAGGGCUAAAUCGCCUUCGUUUGGUGACUUUAACCGAUGCAGGACAGGACAAAAAAAGAAUAGUUGUAGCACAAUUUCAGCUAGGAGGAAUCCGGAGCAAAAGAUGGGUUACGUGAUAGUGAUCUCUUUGCCUCUGAUUCUGCUGUUCUUGAUAGCUGCCAUCGCCUGCUAUCUACUUGGUAGGGCAAGCGGCCGAGGAGAGGCUGCUGGUAGGCCUCCCCGGUAUUAUGGGCCUCCAGCGCCUCCAAUUGCAGCUCAAAUCCCACCUCCGGAGAAGUAAUAGUUUCAUUUCCUGGAUAUAGUGGUACUAAUCUUGUAUGUUCUCAUGUGUAUCAUUCUUCUGUAAUUAUUUUGUUCUUUUUUUGGGUUGGUGGUAAAUAUGUGUGUAUCUGCUUCAACAUCCAAUAUGUUGAGAGAGUUAAAAUUUACUAAUUAGUCAAUAAGCACGCCAUGGAUGGUUUCUAUAAAUUAAUGCCUGAAAAGUGCAUCUCAUGGACGACUGAAAAGGAAGUUCAAAAUGCAAUCCUCCUGGCAACAUAGGAGUUCUCAAGAAAACAGCAGAUGGCCAGAAUGAUUAUUGCAGGGGUUAACCACUACCAAACUUCCAUGUUAUGAGUGGUCUAAGAAGCAACAAACUUGGAAAGCAUCUAAUCUAAUCGAAGUGAUUUUAGUCCGUCUAUGUUUUGCCACCUUCUAUAGUUGUUAUUUUGGCUGUGAAAAGAUUAAACUAGAGGUGGCAAUUUGGAUUGAAAUCCAUUUAUCCAUCCAUAUAAACCAUAAUUAAAUGGAUUUGGAUUAUCCAUUUAUAAUAUUGGUUUUAAAUGGAUGAUCAAAGUAAAACCAUUAAAUUAAAUGGAUUUAUAUGGAUUAUCCACAAAAACCACAUAUAUCCAUUUACUUAAAAAUCAAAUAAAAGAAAUGGACAGCAAAUGACUAAAAAAGGAGCUAUCCUAAAAUUGAACGUUGAGGUGUGAAAAUGCUGUCCCCGUGCUCCCUCGUUUUCACCGGUUUCGUUCCCUCCUUCACGGCCACCGCCACCGCCAUCGCCUCCCAUUCCCCUCUGUUCUAAUCACUACUUAACUAAAUCCAUCCUCUCUGUCUGCAUCCUCCUAAAAUUUUACCCAACCCAGGAUCCCAGAUCGAGUGAGGAUGAAUUUUGCGGGCAAGUGAUCGGGGGUAAAUCUUCAUCCUUUUCUUGCUAAUAUCUUCGUCUUUGUUUUCCGUUUGCGCUUAAAUUGUUUGAUAAUUAGGAGGGAACGGGUUUGUCUCUGUUUCUGGUUCUAGGUUGUUGAGUUUCCAAUCAAUAUUUGUUAAAUCAAAGCUUUUGGGCUGGCUAAUUAACUUGAAUUAUUGGGGUUAUCGCAUUUCAUUUGCAUGUAGCUAGCUGCUGUGACGACUAGGAGUUGUAGGUCUUUUGGUUGUAAUGCUAAAACGAGUGAGAUUCGGUUGGCUUUGAAGCAAACCCAUUACUUUUUCCCAACGAUUCCUUGUGGAGGAUUAGAGUGCAAACCUGGCACCACAGAAUUUGUGGUUCAGAAAUCCCAACUAAGUUGGGAAGGGACUUGUCAAUUGGCACUACAAGAUAAAAUGGAUACUUCAACGAGAGAAUCCCUGGAGUCACUGAUACCUGGAAUGAGAUUCUGUACAAUAUUUUUCUCUAGAAUGAUUCAUGUUAUAGCAGACAACUAAUUCCCAGGUCCUUAUUCCUAGUUGAAUUCAUUACUGUGAUGAGGACAUUAGGAAAUUUAGGUAGAGUUGCUAUGUCUAACAUUAAUUAGAAGACAUGACAUAUGAUUGCAUGCAUCGAAAUCUGGCAAACUGAUCAAAAUUUAGUUUUUAGAGUAAGUAAUGCAUGAUAAAUUGCAAGCUUGGGAUUUCUGGACUUCUAAAUGCUUAAUGUUAUCUUAAUCCUUUCCUCUAACUAGUAUUUUUUUGCUGUCAUUUUGCACUUAAUGAGAUCUGAAUUUUUUUUCUAUUCUUUGGUGCAAUGAAUAUUAGGUACUUGUUCAAAUGGAAGGAGAAGAAGAGCACAAUGUUGAGCGAGUUUCAUCAACAGAUUCCAGCAAAAGAAGAUUUGGAUGUUCUUCAAUUUUGGAAAGAAAAUAGAAAUCGAUAUCCAGUGAUUUCAUUGAUGGCACAAGACAUUUUGAGUAUUCCUAUUACUACAGUGGCUUCAGAGUCCGCUUUCAGCGUUGGCGGUCGGAUUAUCAACAAAUAUCGUAGUACCAUCUUGCCAGAGAAUGUAGAAGCUUUAAUAUGCACUAAAGAUUGGUUAUAUGGUGAAAAAUGUAAGUAUUUUAUAUAUUCUUUAUUUUGUUAAAAAUUUCUUUUACUGCACAUAAUAUUUACGGUAGUUAAAUUAUUAUUUUUCUUUAUUUAGAAAUGACGUAUUUGCUGUUUUAUGAUAUUAAUAUAGUUUCACAAGAAAAUGCCGAGGAAGAAGCUGCAUUAAUUACAGAUUUUGCUCCAUUAGUUACAAAACUUCUUGGCUCCAAUAGGGAGGUUUACGAAGAGGAAAUCUAGUCAUGUGACUUAUUGGAUUGCUCAAAGGUAAUAUGGUUAUUUAUUUAUGAAGCAAUUAAGUAUUUUAUUAGAGUGCCUUCAUGGAUGAUUGGAUGGGAUUGUAGACUCCUAGCUGUUGCUUAUUUGGUAUGGUUUCUAGUUUUGCAGCUUCUUGAUGGGGCCCUUUGUUCGUGUCUUCUUUCACUCCUUAGGGACUAGUAUUCACUGCCCUUGCUGGACUAAAAGAGGAGCUGUGUUUUGGGAAGGUUAUGAUCUAUAGCACUACAAACUUCUCAGUGGCAGCAUCAUAUGCUUCCUAGGCCAUGUUGUGUGUAAUUUUUUAGCAUGCAUACUUUCUCUGCACUUUUGUUUAGACCAUAUCUCUACCAAGAAAUUUUAAUCAUAUUAGCAUUUCUUUAUAGCAUCCUCUAAUCACUUUUUCUGUUUGUUCUUAUUUCUUGCAAACUUUUGUGUUUAAAUCUAAUUUUUGUGAACUCUUUUUAAUGCCGAAGUUAAAGGAGUAUUUAGCUCAUAUGCACUACAGCUGAAAUCAAGUACUUGAGCUGUAAUGCAUUUCUGAAUUAUGACAAGUAGUUGGAAUUGCAUACAUAAAUUGUAAAGCAUUUAACUUCUGCAUUCAUAUGCUUCCUUUGCCCGCUGCAGGUACCAUGCCAUUACCAGUGCUUACUACAGAGGAGCUGUUGGUGCUUUACUCGUGUAUGAUGUCACUAGACGUUCUACCUUUGAGAAUGUUGAGAGGUAGUUUGAGGGAAUUGAGAGAUCAUACUGACCCUAAUGUUGUAGUUAUGCUCAUUGGAAACAAAUAUGAUCUUCGACAUCUUGUAGCAGUUUCAACUGAGGAUGGUAAAGCUUUAGCAGAGAGGAAGAGCCUCUUUUUUCAUGGAGACAUCUGCACUGGAAGCAACCAAAGUGGAAAAUGCAUUUGCUGAAGUCCUGACACAAAUAUACCGCAUUGUGAGUAGGAAGGCAGUCGAGGCCAUUGAUGAAGGUACUCCUUCAUCUGUUCCUCCUAAAGGAGAGACAAUCAAUAUCAAAGAUGAGGGAUCUUCUUGGAAGAGAUUGGAUGCUGUUCAAGCUAGAGCUUGCACGGAAAUCUUCAAGGACAAUGGCUCUUGCUGCAUAAGUCUUGUACAUUACAUCGUUCAACCAGCAAUAUUGUUCAUUUGAUUGUCCUCUUUGUCUUGGAUCAUAUAAGAUGACAGUUACAUGGAAAUACUUUAGUAUUUUCAUGAAAUUCUUACUUGGUAGGAUCAGGAAUGAGUAUAGUUACUUGGUAAUACAAAAAAAAAAAAAAAAGUAACCAAAAUAUAUAAAUGGAUUAUAAAUGGAUAAUUGGAUUUUAUAUAAUCCAUUUAGAUCCAUCCAUUUAGAUCCAUUUAUUAAAUGGAUUUAAAUGGAUUGGAUAAAUUUCAUCCACCAUCCAUUAAGUCAAAACCAAUUAUGAACCAUUUAUCCAUAUUGCCACCUCUAGUCUCUAGAUUAAACCAUCUUCCAUUUCCCGAUUCUGAUCCUUCGAAGUAUCUACUUGUUCCCGACCAAAUAUUUUGUUUGUGAUACAUACAUCGCCGAGUAAGAAUUGAUUACUAGGGGAAUUGAUAGUACAUGAAGCUGGUAAUUCCAAUUGAUUCAUUUACGUUUAGAAUGGAAGAUUGUUCAAGCUAACUACAUCUAAAUGCCUGGCUUUUGUGCAUCCAGACCAUUUUUUUUUUGGUCAAUCGUCGAAUUCUAGAUUACUUCUACUCCUACUCUACUUAUUUAUCUACGGGUCAAGUGCAGCUAGACGGAGCGAUUUUCACCUCUAGAUUAAAAAGGUGCACUACAGCACGCUUUGGGAUGAUUUUCACCUCCAAACCAAAAGGGUGCGCUGUAACACAUCACAUCUUUGAUUUUAUUACAGGUGCAGAGGUUUGAACCUGAUUUGCAGUCAAAUCUGCACCUUAUGCUUCAUCCUGUGGCUUUAGUAUGGGUUGCUCCGCCCGGCUUCUGCGCAUCUAGACUUUGAUCCACACAAUAACUAAGAAUGUCUCUGUCUGGUACAAAAGGUGCCAUUUAUGACCUGAAUUGACCCUUAAAAGAAGACGACCAGGAUGUCCUCAACAUCCUUUCUUGAACUACUGGAUCGGAGUGGUGGAUGGCAGUGGCAGUGUGGACGCUGGUGCAUCACAAUUUUAGCCGAGAGGACCAGGUAAACAAUUGCUUAGAGUUAGGGAUGGGGCCUCCAAAAGCAAAAGGUUGUUUGGAAAUUUUGAGAGCCAACAAGGCGACAGAGUCAUAAAUAAAGCAAUUCACAAUUUCUUUUGCUGAGAGAUGGAAGGAGAGGAGACUUCUUUUGUCUGUUUCCUACUACAGCUACUUCACAGGCACCCCCACCUUGGCCAUAUCUGAUGUCACCGAAGUCUCAUUCCACUGGAGUAUUUGACAACAAUACCAUGUUAGUUGCCCGUCUCGGCAACUUUCACUCUUUUCCCUACGAUACUUACUACUGAGUACUACAACUUUGCUCGUGAAUUUCGUUUUACAUACCAACUCUUCUUUUUUCGUUUCACAUGUGAAUCGGUCAUGAGCUAAGUACAUUGCAACCCCAUCACACCAACGAAGCACCUUCUCUCUUUUUAUUUUAAAUAAAUAAAGUGAUUAAUAUAUAAAUAAUCUACACUAAUAGAUUCCUCUCACCUAAUUGACUCGGAUGAAUAAGUUGUGUUCCACUUUAGGCCUAAUGAAAACUUAAACAAAUGGUACAACCAACUAAUUCUAAUUUAGUUGAUCACCACAUGUCUUUGUGAGUAAAAGGUCAAGAUUUCAAAUAUUAUUCUUCAUCAAAAGUUACCACUUAACGUAACUUUUCUUAAAUUUAUAUGGAUAUUUCUUGCGCUCGUAUGGUCCAAUGAUGAUUUAGUUUCAGUCGAUUUUUCGUGAUCUUACCCUUCUAGUAUAUGUUAGAGUAUGAGUAAGUGUAAACGCGAUAAUGGAUUAAAAAAAAAAAAGAAAACUUAAAUUAAUUUAAUACUAGCACUACUAAGUUAAAUCCAAGGAAAUGGUUGUUGCGCGCUUGCUGCAGUUCCGAUACAGAGCACGGGUAAAUGUCACCCUCUCCUUUUCUUAAAGGUAUCAAAGCGCAGAUUCGGGGGUUGAGGAAGCACUACUAGUAUAAUUUAUCUACUGACUGAAGAUUUUGAUACAGGGGGCCGGCCGGAGGAGGGGAUUGGAAUAGAAGUUACUCACACAUACUACUAUUAUUAUUGCUCUAUGUUUGUCUUGUCAGAGAGAUUACUGUUUCCUAGAUCUUCUUAAUGAGGCAAAUAAUGACAGUGAUCAGCAAUUUACUGUGCAAAAAUUAAAUUAUGGAUCCUUUUGUGUUUACGACCAGCUAGUACGUGAACGUGAUGAUGAUGAGCACUUAGAAAUGAAUGGGCCGGGAGAUUAACCACCACCACCGUCACUAAUCACUAUGCAGCUCGUUCGUUCUGUGAAAGGGAUAGGUAUUUAUUUGGUAGAGUUUGCCACUUUAAGAGAGAGAGAGGGAUGAUGAUGAUGAUGAUGAUGAUGAUGAUGAUGAUGAUGAUGAUGAUAAGAAUUGAAGCCAGCUCUUCCGCAGGAUUUAUUGAAAGCAAGAAAAUGAUACAGCCGGUGAAGUCUACAUGCAAUGAUCAACAUCAUCCACCAACUCUCUCUUUAUCUCCAUCUCUGUAACUCCGUCGUUAGCUAAUGAAAUAGAUGGAGAUAACACAUUUUAAAAUACAUCUCAAAUACACUUAACAAACAUAUAUAGAAAUUAACUAAAAAAAAGAAAAGAAAAAGAAAACCCACCCCCCUUUUUUUUCUUUUACUUGCUAAUUCAUUACCAAAAAUCAUAUUAGGAUGAAUAAAAAAUUAAAGAAAUUUUGUGUAGGAAUUGUCAAAUGGUGCCUGUUAUGUUGAUUUUAGGUGAUGAGACAGAUAAUUUGAGAAGUUCUCUUGCUGCUGCGAUGUGAAUCCCAGAAUCCUAUGCUGUCAAAGCGUCAACUGUCAACUAACCUUUGUAUGUUUGUUCCUUAGUAACGUCUUCCAACCUUACUCAAAAAAAAAAAAAAAAAAAAAACAGAAACAUGGAGGGAAAUUUCAAAAACAGCCACCGUAUUAAGUACGUUACGUCCUUUAUAGCCUAUUGGUGAUUCCUAGAGCUGGCAAUUAUACCCAAAACCCAACAACCCACCCAACCCACCCACUAAUUUAAGAGGUUGGGUUGGGUAAGUUGGGUAUUGGGUAAAUUUUGGGUUGGGUAAUAAAAACCCAUAUAUAUUUUGGGCGGUUUGGGUAUUUGUGUUGGGCACCCAUUACCCAACUUUUCCCUCUUUGUAUGUUUUUUGUGCAAGUAUAACCCAUCCUGUUGACACAUGGAAAAAGACAUUCUUGUGUACAAAAGUGUUACCACCACCCCCCCCCCCAAAAAAACCCGGGGCAAAAAAAAAAAGUGUUAAUUUUUUGAGUAAGUUCCCUGUAUUUUGGUUGGACUUUUUGAUGGUUUAGUAAAGGGGUUAGCAAUUAUCAUUUAAACGUAAUUUGACCUCUGCUAUUGUAGAGCAAGAAUCAUCAGCCUAUGACUAGUUGACCGAGAGUCGUCCCUAUGGCAAAUAUAUAUCAAUAAACAUUUCUGAGACAAGUGUUGUAAAAAUUCGUUUAUGGAGCGAUUAAAUAUUGAAGUAAUAGCCAAAUUUUUGUUAAUCCUUUCACUAAAGAUUUUUAUGCUAAAUGUUGAAAUUAUAAAGAUAUGGUUUAUUGAAAGCUAAUUAUUUGACAAGAGAUUCUUUGUUAUAAUUUUUUCCGUUACACUCGUUACAUUAUUUAGUUGAUUGACAUGUGUCCCAUGCAAUAAUAAAUAAGAAUUUGAGUUUUAAAAUAUCUCUUAGUUUGGACCAAGGCUAUACCCAGUUUGAAAAUCCUUACUUGUAUAAAAAAUAGAGAGUUCAUCCAAGUAGUUUAAAUAGUUAGUAUGUGUGUGUAUUUGUGAAAGUAUAUUAGUGUGUAUUGUAAUGUGUUUGUAUGUGUAAAAAUAACAUAUUUCAAAAUAGAUUAAGAAGUGAGUAUAUUUUUGUGUCUAUGAGUGUUUUAGUGUGUAAAAUUAUGUGUAUCUAUGUGAAAAUGUGUUUAUGUGUGUGAAUUUUUAUUUUUUUUUGUAUGUAAAAAUGUAUUUGAGAGAGUUUAUGUAUCAAAAUCUAUUAAUUAAUAUAUUGGGUCAUAUUUGGGUCAUGGGUUUGAGAUGACCCAAUAUGACCCAACCCAAAAUUAACCCACUCUAAAGUUGGGCGGGUUGGAUGUAACCCAUUUAAAUGAAAACCCAACAUUAACCUGCCCAAAAUCCGCCCAACCCGCCCAAUUGCCAGGUAUAGUGAUUCCUAACUUUAAGGAACUCGUUUGGUAUACUAUUACUAACGAUGAUUAUACACGUCAUCCUCUUUGACCGCGGAGCAGAGAUUGAGUCUGAACUCGUUCCCCGCAGCAUCUCACCAACUACCACUGGAUUAUCUAAUUGAAUUUCCUGAAAUGAUUGAACCGCAACUACAAUACCAUUGAAAAGAAAUAAUUUUUUUUAUCUGCGCAAUAUCUAAAAUCAAUUUUAGGAACAUGACUUCAGACAGUAUCUAAUUAGAUUUUCUGGCCUAAUUUUCCAAACAGACCCAAAUAACUUACUAUCUAAUUAGAUUUUCUGGCCUAAUUUUCCGUCUUUAUCAUUCCUAAUAAUUGGUCGUAAUUUCCUAAAGACGUGUGGAAAAAUGUUUUUUUUUUUUAAAAAAAACUAUCCACAAAUUAGAGCAGCCACCCGAGUCCAAGGUGCCUGACACUUGAACCAAGGGCACUCGCGAUCGUACGGUCUUUUUUGAACUUCCGUUCAAUCAUGCACAUAAUUGCAACUGCAUUUGUGCGCAGCCCCACUCCCUGCUCCUAAGGACAUCUACAAUAAUGCUAUUACACCUUGUGAAGUGUAAUUCACAUGCCACGUCAGCAUUUCACUUUCUCCUUUUUUAUUACACUUUCACUCACAAUGGAUUACACUCCACAAGGUGUAAUAGCAUGGGUCCACAAUUAAAUCAAAUAUUUAUUUUAAUAAUGCAUAACUCAUAUCCCAUAAAUAAAUAAAGUAAUUUUUAAAAAUAAUUUUGUUAUUUUUAAAAAAUAAGGUACUAACUUUCACUAAUUUUUUUACAUUUUGAAUUUUUUUAUUUUCUAAAAAUGAUAUUAUUAAUUUUUAAGUUUGAAUAAUAUAUCUUUUUCUAUCUUUCAAAAAUAAUAUAUUGUUAAUUUUUCAAAAAUAAUUAUGCAGGAAAUUAAACAAAUAUUUGAUACCUCAAAUGCGAAGAUAUCAUAAUAAUCCAUACUUAAUUAAUAAUUCGGAAUGUAAUUAGUUGAACUCCAUAACAUAAUAUUACAUAAUUUAAAUCAAAUAAAAUACAAAUAAUAUUGAAGCUAAAAUUGGAUGUAACCGUUGGUGGCUAGAAUUAUUUUACAUUUAGUCUGGGUCCCACCUUCUAAUGGAUUACACGCAUCAUAUCCAUGAUGCGUGUAAUCUCCAUUGGAGUCGUGUCAUGGAGCGGUGUAAUGGGGGACCAUUACGCCUGCGUUGUGGAUGCCCUAAGUAAUACUGACUAGUCUAAAGACACGUUCUAUGCACGGCAAUCAAGAAUGUUACGAAAAAAUAAAUAAAUAAUUAUGAGAAUAUAUAAACAAUAUGGUUAAACCUAUAAAAUGUCAAGCAAUUUUUAGCUAUCCCUUCUUGCUUCUGCCUUUAUAAAUUCCAUCCCUUCGUUGCUGAAACAAAUUUAAAACAAAAAAUAAUUUUUAGCUACUGUCGUCUAAAGUACAAACAUGCAUUACAAAAAAAAGGUGGUAUAACACAUAAAACAUGUCAUAUUAAAUUAUAAUAGAUCUAAGACCAAAUCAUAUUUGCUAGAUGCCAAUUCAUUUCUCAACCAUCAUGUCCAACAUUCAAAAAUUUCAAAUGGCCCAAAAAGAAAUUCUAGAAAUGGCCCAAAAAUUUCAAAAACUUUUGGUAUUAAAAUUAAUGAUAAAUCAAAAAGAAAUGGCCAUUCCACUAUUCAAAAAUUUCACAAUUUCUAAAUAAACUAUUUCAACAUUUUCUUUUCUAUCUUAUAAAAUACUAUCCAUAAUAAAAUACUAUCAAAAGUAUCAUAUCAUAGUGAUAAAAUUAUUAUUAUAGCUGUUCAUAAAAUAGUAGGCAUGGACAUAAAAAAUUUAACACAUUUUUCUUAAAUUAUAUUAGAUAAUCUUAUAAUUAUAUAGAAAAAUAAAUUAAAAUCCAUUACACAAGGGUAUUUUUGGAUAUUCAUUUAAAAAUUUGAUCAAGUCAAUAUUAUUUUAAGAUUUUAUUAUUAAAACUAUCAAAUCAAAUAAGGUAAGUAAAAUUUUUCAAAUUUUAAGGGAGCUCAAUAAAAUUAUUAGAAACCUCGCCUCGCCUCCUCAGGAGGUUUCUGAAAUUUUCCCUAUUUUAUAACUGCAUGAAUUAAGUAUAUCAUGUGAAAGAGAAUAAAAUCAAAAGAUGGGUAGGUGUAAUGACUAUUUCAGGGAAACUGCCAGAAAGCUCAAGGAAGGUAUCUGAAAAUUGUCAAAUCUUUUCACCGGGCCACCAACCACAAAUCAGUGAAAAGCCCAUGUACCAUGCCAUUCCCACGUAUACCCCUACCAACCGUCCAAUUUAUGACCGAUCAAUGGUCCUGAUUCAUAUUCAACCAAGCCUGCUUAGCAACGACUGCCACCGUCCCCCGCCCUUACUCUUUCUCUCCCUUGUGCUCUCAAGUCUCACCUACCAAUUCCUGCAUCUAUAUAUUUCGGAGACCUUUCGCAACUAUAGCCCAGGAACUUCCUGCCCACCAGCAUUAGCAGUUGUUCCUCUCGCAAUACAAAGUAGUAGUAUAGCAUUACUAGUUAGUAGUCACCACUGCUACUGCUUCAGUUCCUUUUAUCACUUGCUUUACAUGAAUUAAGUCGAUACUCUUCCUUGAAUACCUAGCGAUUAGUUUCGUGGUGACCUAUCUAGCACGUCUAGCCAUUUUUCUGUUUCGGUGGCAUCAAUCCUGAGCAGAGAAAGCUGCAAGAUGGAAAAUGGUCAUGACGAAGGCGUGAAAGUCUCGGAGUUUUGCUUGAAAUCAGAUCCUCUGAACUGGGGAGUGGCAGCUGAGUCACUGAUGGGAAGUCAUUUGGACGAAGUGAAGCGCAUGGUAGCUGAGUUUAGGAAGCCGGUGGUAAAGCUCGGCGGUGAGAGCUUGACCGUUGCUCAGGUGGCCGCGAUUGCCGCCAAAGGUGAUCAGGGUGUGAAGGUGGAGCUGGCGGAGGACGCAAGGGCUGGGGUGAAGGCAAGCAGCGACUGGGUGAUGGAGAGUAUGAACAAAGGCACUGAUAGUUACGGAGUUACCACUGGGUUUGGUGCCACUUCACACAGGCGGACCAAUCAAGGCGGUGCCCUUCAGAAGGAGCUUAUUAGGUAAAUUAGCUUUAGCUUCAUCCUUAAAUUUUGCCUCUGCAUUUUUACCACUUUCAAGUUCUUUUUUGUUUUUUGCGUUAAUGGUGGCCACAAUUUUACUGUGCUGGGAUCGGGCUCAUGCAUUUAACCUGGAUGAUAAACUACCUGUUUGAAUUUGUUUCUGAAAAACUCCACUAUUUCCCCCAAAAAAAAAAAAAAAAAAAAAGAAGACUAUCAACCACCUUUAUAUUUCAUUUGCACUCUUUCCUUUCUAAUAAAGUUGUCACAAUAUUUUUUUUCUAAAAAUACUCCAGAACAAACAAUCCGAACUGAGAUAGUCAAAGCAAGGUUUAAACUAGAAUUUUACGAAUGAUUUUUUUUUUUUUAAAUAAAGGAUUUUUUGUGUUCCGAAAUCAAUAUAAUUAAAGCAGAGCAAGGGAGAAAACAAUUCUCCUGCAUGCGUAUUUUCGCCUGCUCCAAUUCAUUUGACCUUGUUUGGUAAUAAAACUAUGGGGAUCACAGAACUCUUACACGCAGAUAUUUCUGAAAAGCAAAAUUCGUUGCCUCUUCUAGUACAAUUAAGGGACGUUAGGUUCAUCUCUAUCAAAAUGAUGCCAACUUACAACCAGUGCAUGCGUGCACUCAAAACGAAGAACAUAUACUAAAGAUGAGCACCCAUAUCACUAUGAGGAAUUGUCAUUAUCUAAUCUUGAUAUUUUGAUUUUUGGCUCCACCGACAUUUCUGUCUUUGGAAAAAGAAAAAAAAAAGAUAAAGAAAAAGUGGAGAAGUGGAAGAUUAUGUAUGUAUUAGGAGGCAUAUUGGAAGCCCCAAAAAAAAAAAUUCAAAAGCAAAAUUGAUGAAAUUAACAAAGGCUACUACAAUAUUUUACCUUUUCACUUGUCCCUAUUUUAUCUAUUUACUAUAGUCUAUGGUUGCCCGUUCAUCCAUCGGAAACAAAUGGAAUACUUUUGUCAAAACGAACGAAUCUGUAGAGUCGGGUGCAGGGGAAUAGAAAGGAGAAUGAUCCUGACAUAUGCAUGGAUUAUUGUGUAAAUUGACAGAUUUCUGAACGCGGGAAUCUUCGGAAACGGCACGGAAACUUGCCACAUGCUGCCACACUCAGCAACAAGGGCAGCGAUGCUUGUAAGAAUCAACACCCUUCUUCAAGGUUAUUCCGGGAUCAGAUUCGAAAUCUUGGAAGCCAUCACCACUUUCCUUAACCACAACAUCACCCCAUGCUUGCCUCUUCGCGGUACAAUCACUGCCUCUGGUGAUCUUGUCCCCUUGUCCUACAUUGCCGGUUUACUAACCGGCCGCCCCAACUCCAAGGCCGUUGGGCCCAACGGAGAAGCUUUCAAUGCCGAAGAAGCAUUUCGCCUUGCUGGCCUCAGCGGUGGCUUUUUCCUGCUGCAGCCUAAAGAAGGCCUUGCUCUUGUUAACGGAACAGCAGUUGGUUCUGGCUUGGCCUCUAUUGUUCUAUUUGAGGCUAACGUGCUUGCUGUCUUAUCUGUAGUGCUGUCAGCAAUCUUUGCUGAAGUGAUGAAUGGCAAGCCUGAGUUCACCGAUCAUUUGACGCAUAAGUUGAAGCAUCAUCCGGGCCAAAUUGAGGCCGCGGCUAUCAUGGAGCAUAUCUUGGAUGGAAGCUCUUACGUCAAGGCUGCUCAAAAGUUGCAUGAGUUGGAUCCCCUGCAAAAGCCAAAGCAGGACCGAUACGCUCUCAGGACGUCUCCGCAGUGGCUGGGUCCACAAAUCGAAGUUAUUCGUGCAGCAACAAAAAUGAUUGAGAGGGAGAUCAAUUCAGUUAAUGAUAACCCUCUCAUUGAUGUGUCCAGGAACAAGGCCUUACAUGGUGGCAACUUCCAGGGUACCCCUAUUGGAGUGAGCAUGGACAACGCUCGACUGGCCAUUGCAUCUAUUGGCAAACUGAUGUUUGCUCAAUUUUCCGAGCUUGUUAAUGAUUACUACAACAAUGGGUUGCCGUCCAAUCUCUCUGGAGGAAGGAAUCCAAGUUUGGACUAUGGAUUCAAGGGAGCUGAGAUUGCUAUGGCUGCAUACUGUUCUGAACUCCAGUAUUUGGGCAAUCCAGUGACCAACCAUGUCCAGAGUGCCGAGCAACACAACCAAGACGUCAACUCCUUGGGAUUAAUCUCUUCAAGAAAAACGGCAGAAGCCAUUGAUAUCUUGAAGCUUAUGUCAUCCACUUAUUUGGUGGCACUUUGUCAAGCAAUCGAUUUGAGGUUUUUGGAAGAAAACUUGAAAAAUGCUGUUAAGAAUAUUGUCAGCCAAGUGGCAAAGCGAACUCUGACAAUGGGUGCUAAUGGAGAACUGCAUCCUUCACGGUUUUGUGAGAAGGAUUUGCUCAGAGUGGUGGACCGCGAAUACGCCUUUGCCUAUGUGGAUGACCCUUGCAGCGCUACCUAUCCAUUAAUGCAAAAGUUAAGGCAAGUGCUCGUGGAUCAUGCGUUGAAGAAUGGUGAUCAGGAGAAGAACGUCAACACCUCCAUCUUCCAAAAGAUUGCUGCAUUUGAAGAUGAACUGAAGGCUGUCCUACCAAAAGAAGUGGAGAGUGCCAGAAGCGCUGUGGAGAGUGGAAAUCCAGCAAUCCCUAAUCGGAUAAGGGAGUGCAGAUCUUACCCAUUGUACAAGUUCGUUCGAGAAGUGUUGGGGACAGGACUGCUGACUGGAGAGAAAGCUCAGUCACCUGGUGAGGUGUUCGACCAGGUGUUCACAGCAAUGAGCAAGGGGCAGAUUGUAGAUCCUUUGUUGGAAUGUCUCCAAGAAUGGAAUGGUGCUCCUCUCCCAAUCUGUUGAUUUACUUUCAUCCAUUCAAACAUUUGUUUAUCAAAUCCUUCAAUGUAAUUUAUAUGUAUUUUAAAUUCAAUGAUAUGUCAGUAACACCCAUGUAUUGCUCAAGGUUUCUUAAAAUGUGAACAAAAAUUUCAACAUCGUCCCUGUUCUCCAUUUAAUGAGUUGAUUGAUUUUCGGCUAGCUGAUUGCCAAUGAAGGCAAUCCUACAUUACAUCCAUUUUCUGAGAGAGCUGUGAACGAAGGUGGCCAGACUACUAAUUUAGUAGUUUUAGAACCAUGCUUAAUACAGUUAAAACUAUAUUAAGGAUGGUUAGUAGCUAAGAAAUUGCAAAAUCAGGCAUGCAAUUACAGUACCUUUUUCAGACUGAUUACGAGACUGGCUGCUAUUACUUGAGGAUGUAAAAUAGCUUGCAGCUUUCUUGUUGAAGCGUUUGAAGAUGCAAAAUUGAAAGCUUAGACCCAUACCCUCCUCAUCUUGGUUCAAAGGCGUGAUCACGUGGAAACUAUUUUGAUCCCAACUUUAUUAGCUUUCCGGUACAUAAUACUGAAAGCCUAAAAACCACCGGAGGAGGAACCACUGAACUGUCAUUUGGUCUCUGGAAAGGCACCGAAACGAGAGGCUUUAAACGCGGCGUUUUUUAUACUCCCUCCGUCCCACUUUGAUAGUCCUAUUUUCCUUUUUCGUCUGUCCCAAAUUAUAGUCCACUUUCCAAUUGAAAAAUGUAGUUAUAUUUUAAUUUUCCUAAAAUACCUUUAUUCAAUGUAAGUUAUUGUUACUAUAAACUUACCACGUUUAAUGCAUUUAGAUUUUCCAAACUUAUUUAUAUCAGGAGGGAAACAAACUAUGUCAUCAUUAGCUACAAACCAUGAGUGAACAUUUUCAAAACUAUCCAUAUUUCCACAAUUUUUCUAACGAAAUUCCAACAAAAGAAUAUGAUUUCAAAUUCUCAUAAAGUUGUACUCUAAUUAAUGUGAAAGUAUUUUAGAAAAAUAGCUACCUAAAUUGAUUGUUGCAACAAAGUUAACUACUUUUUCUUAAAUUGAGUGAAAAAAAAAAUCAAGACUAUCAAAGUGGGACGGAGGGAGUAUUAUUUAUGGCUCCAAUCUCUGGAAAUUGUAAACCAACUACUGACCAAAAAAUAAAGGAUUCUGUACAAAUUGUUAACCAAAAGUUGACCUCAAAAAAAAAAUUCUAGUAUCAAUUGUUAUAAAACUAGUUAUAAAACUCGGUCAAUUGUUAUUUGUUCGCUUAGAAUUUUUUUUUUAGAAGAAAAAGAGUUUUCAUUGCUUUAAGUCGACUACAGCAGCGUACAGGACUUCCUUCGGAAAAUUUGCAAACGAAAUAUAACUCCCCUCAAUGGAUAAAGAUUAACUUAAGACAUGAGAUGAGCAGGGACGUUAUUAUUGCUCUUUAUAUGGGACACCUUUACAUACUCAAAUUCCAAAAUGAAUGGAAGACACCAAAAUUCUUAGCAAACUGUAAACGCUUUUAGGAAGGUUAAAGCAUUCCACCUACCCAGGAUUGAGAGCUCGGGGAAUCUCCUCAACCAUUGUUGCCUGAGCCUCUACUUGUUCCCAUUGGUUCCUUACUACAAAACAUAUUCCAAUUACAGCUUCGAAAAAUGUACCAUACAUAUUGAUCUUGUCAAUGCUCUCCUCAUGCGCUAACCAUCUGUUAUGCCUUCAAUCUUCCUGACCUUCUCUCUGCCACGUAGAUUCCAAUACCACCUCUGCUUAUGCACUAAUUUGUGCUGCUGGUUCCUCGGCUUUUUCUUCAAAGGUCCUCUCAAUUCUGCAUUUCCAGAUAAGCCAUGUGAUUACUGCUGCUAAUUCUGCUAACUGCUCCCCCCUUUGAGUAGAGUAUGUAGGCAAACCACUCCUUGAAACUGGACACAGAUGAGAUGUUUGCAAUCUGCUUACCUUCUACACCCUUCCAUGCUCCCUGGCCAAAUUCGCAAUCAAAGAAAUGUGUUUUAUCAUUCAUUCACACCGAUUGCAUCUUGUCACUGCUCUUUGAAGAGGUGAAUUCUGUACCGCUGGAGUAAACCUUCUGAGUACUCUGGGUGGUCCACUGGGACGAGGUCACCUGCUCAAGUUACUAGAGGGGCUGAAUCCCCCGGUAGAACUCCGAAGCUUAAGUCAGUUCGGGAAUGAGAGAAUAUGUGAAUUGAAGAGAGUAUCAGUAUGUCUUUACCAGAUAAUUGGUCAUCAUCCCCCUUCUCAGUGGAUACCCAGGGGUAUUUAUAGGGGAUUUGUUAGGAAGAGGGACUGGCAUCACGGGUCCCUAAAGAUCUGAGACGGUCAGUGCAUCUGGUGGAUUGGACAGCUCUUUACGAAAAGGUUCGAUGGGACAUCCGCCAGUUUCAGGCGGCGUGUGUCAGAGUAGCUGUCCAUCAGAUGUCAAGCGUAUCAACUGUCAGUUCCCAUCUUUCGUAGGCGUCCAUCAAUCAGGUGUCACCUCGGCUAAUGACCUGAAGACUUAGGCCGAAGUGGUACACAGGCUUUGACGUCCUCGAUGAGCAAGGUGCCGAGGUGGGACCUCGGGAGGAAUCAGAGUACGAGGCUCGGGUUAUCCGAGCCGAAAUGACCAUCCUCACUAAGCCCCCCAAGCUUCGAGAAGGGCGAGGUCGUGGUUUCCCGAGGUUGUUCCUUCCCGAAGCUGACGAGCGUGUAAACACGCAACAGUAAGGGCACGUCAUCUAUAUGGAUGGGACUAAUAGAAAGGUGAAACGAUGGCUGUCAGUUUUGACGUCGGAUCCGUAAAAUCAGCCGUCAGAUGAACAGCAUCUUCAUUAAUGAGGAGAGAGAGUGGGCGCUCUAGGGAAUCCCAAAGGUGCCGUCUCUUCGGUUUCCCCCAAUUGCCUAUAAAUAGGGGCCCUUUUUACCGUUUCAUUUUUCAGCAAAAAUUGUAAAUCACCUCAGAGCUCUGUUCCUGCGCUUCUUCACUUCGGCAAUUUUCCAAACAGCUUCAAAGUAAGUCCACUUCAUUCUUCUUUGUAGUAAUGGCCAGAACGGGCCGCACACACAAGGAAACGGUGAGGCCUGACUUUACCGAGGCAGAGAGGCCUGACCCCACCGAGGAGAGAACUGCUGACGUCGGGGAUGGGGGUGCCGAGGCGUCUCACCAAGCCGGGGCAGUUCAAGGGCAGCAGGAUGCCGAGGCGGAGCAGCAAGAGGAAAUCGAGGUCGAACCCGAGAUCCUGUAUAAUGAUGACCUCGGUAAUGAGGUCCCUAAGGACGCAGGCGUACAAGAACCAUCCACCCUUCCAAACGUGUCGACGCUCAACUACGGACAGAUGCCUGCCUUCCGCAGUAUCAUGGGGCGAGACUCUGUCGCCGAGGUGGUCCGCAGGUAUCCCUGGAGGAAGGACUACAGCAUUUAUAUACCCGAGCCACACCAGUCUGCUGCACUGCCCCCGAAGGGUAGGGUGGCCAUCUAUGUAGAACAGCUGGAGGCCGGGCUCAGGGUGCCCACGACAAGAUUCCUCCGAGACUGCCUGAGGUACUGGGGAGUGAGAAUCACUCAGCUCACCCCAGAUGCCAUUCGCGUCCUCGUCGGCUUCCAGCUGCUUUGCCGACAUCAAGAGAUAGAGCCCACUGUCAAUCUCUUCCGCCGUUGCUACUCGCUCAAAAACAGCGGGAGUGAAAAGGGCUGGUUCUACUUCGGGAACAAAGUUCCCAAAUUAGUAGUGGACGCUCCGAGCUCAAUAAAGGAGUGAAAAAGAAAUUUCUUUUUCAUCCCGGCCGAGGACUUCCCCAGGGGGUUCUGGUGGAGGCCUCCCACCCCGGUUAAAGAGACGUCUCCAGGCAAAUUGGAAGAGCGCAACCUCCAAAAGUUGACGGGGUCGGGCCUCAGAAUUAACUGCUGGGAUUUUCCCGAAGUGGUACUCGUGAAAGGCGGCCUCAGCCGAGCCUUGAUCAGCUCGAAUCACCCCGUCCUCCUUUCGACUAGGCUGAAAAGACCUUGUACUUUUACAUUUCCCUUCUUUAUAUAUUCAUGUUGAGUUCUAACUAACUCUCUCACUUACUGCAGUGACAAAGAUUUCCGACCUGAUAACCUCGGGAGAUGUCGAGGUAGCAAAGAGGGCACCCAAGAAGCGCAAGGAUGCGGCUGAGCCCUCUACCAGGCCAAGUAAGAAGACCACCACGGCAACGCAGAAGUCCACCGCGGCAAUGAGCAGCCGCGAGCCUGCCGUGAUGAUUGUAGGUGAAGGCUCACACAUCUCGGCCACGCCUGGGAAGUCCAAGGCCUCUGCCAUCCCGGUAGGGAUUCCUAUCCGAGGUGUGACGAUAGCCAAUCCACCUCGAGGUCAAGGCGUGACCGUGAUCCCGGAGAAACCUGUCACGGGGUCAUCACUGUUCAACCUCCAUCACGUACCCUCGAAGGAGGCCGGGGAUGACAAGAGGCACCCCGGGGCGCACUGGUGCCCGGAGUGGGACAUCAAUGUCAACGACCGCUGCAAAAAUCCUUUGGUCGCACACGAGCUUCUGGUGCACUCCGUGCUGCCUAGGGAUAAUACCUAUGCGAGGAAGCUCACUCCUGCCGAGCUGAUGCAGAGCGCCUCGGUCUCCUGGGCCUCUACCUCGGCUUUCUUUGCCGAGAUGCUCCAGCGUUAUGGACAUUUCAUGCAGACUUACGAGCCACCCGCCGAGCUUCAGAAAAGGAUCACCGAUCUGGAAGAGAAGCUAAGGGCCACUGAGCUGGAGCGAGACAAGGCCGAGAAGGGAAGGAAGAAGGCCGAAGUCGCCAACAACUCCCUGAUCACUGCCCUUGAUGAAGAGAAAGGAAGAAGGGCCCAGGAAGAGCAGUCGAACAAAGAGGCUAUGGACAAAGCCGGAGUCACUGCUGUGGAGGCCUUCCGGAAGUCGGAGUCCUUCACUCGCGACCUCGGCGAACUCACACGCCCAUCCUUUAUGCUUGGCUACACUUCGGCUGUCAAUGAUGCAAUGCCCUUUAUCUCUUUUGAGCAGCUGGAGUCCCUUCAAAGCGCUUCUCACUACAAUGAAGAUGCCAAGGAGCUGUGCGACCGUAUGGCCGCAGGCAUCCAGGCCGGGAGAGACUUAGCCGAGAUUCGAGCUGAGUUCAACAAAUGGCUCCAGGAAUUUGAACUAGAUGGCGAGGGUAGUGAAGGGGGUCAGUCCGGCGACAGGGCUAGUGGGCACCAGGAUGCCGAGGCAGGUGGAGCCGAAGCGGGUGGAGCCGAAGCGGGUGGAGAAACCAUAGGGGAGCAAGGCUCCGGGGCAGGGAAUGCUUAGAAACAUCCCUUUUUUGUUUUUGUAGGCCGAGGUCAUAGAUGACCUCACAGGGAAUGCUUAGAAGCACCCCUUUUUUGUACUUGUAGGCGUGACCUCGGUCUUCUACUUUUUAUCUGCUUCAAUUCAAUAGACUUCCAUGUUUUUGCAAUCUUCAUACUUCAGUUCAGUUUUGUUUUCUUUACUGCUGCUUUGUCCCCUUAUUUUUCACUUAUAACGAAACAAGAAGAAGUGAAAAAUAACUCAAGACUUAAAAUUAAAAACACGUACCCCUCAAGGGUAAUACAGUUUAAGAUUUUCGGCAUGCCAAGUUCGGGGCACCCGAGACCCAUCUCGGUACGCUAAUUUACAGUAUCCAUUUUGGCUGGAUUCGACAACGCGAUAGGGUCCCUCCCACUUAGGAUUCAGUUUGCCCUGAGGUUCAGCUCGGCUGACCGAGUUCUUCCGGAGCACGAGGUCUCCUGGGGUGAACCGUAGGUGUUUGACCCGAGUAUUGUAGUAACCAGCUAGGAUAUUUUUGUAGAUAGCAACUUUGGCCGCGGCCAUAUCACGUUUCUCCUCGGCGAGGUCGAGGUCAACCCGCCGUUCCUCUCCGUUGACUUCGGCAGCAUACGCGGCCAUCCGUGGGCUCGGCGUUAUGAACUCGGCUGGGACCACAGCUUCUGACCCAUACGUCAAAGAGAACGGGGUCUCUUGGGUUGCCGACCUCGGGGUGGUCCUGUAAGACCACAGGACGCUGGGGAGUUCUUCUACCCAUGACGAUCCAGCUCGGUGUAAUCUGGUUUUGAGGCAGUGGAGGAGAGUGCGGUUAAAAUUUUCGGCCUGUCCAUUGGCCUGAGGGUGUCCUACGGAGGUAAAAUGUUGUUUGAUUCCCAGGUUUUGACACCAUAUCUUGAAAGGGUUGUCAGCAAACUGUCUUCCAUUAUCCGAGAUGACCACCCGGGGUAGGCCGAAGCGGCAAACGACGCUCUUCCAGAAGAAUUUUUGAACUGCUGAUCCAGUGAUGCUCCUUAAAGGCUCAGCCUCAACCCAUUUGGUGAAGUAGUCUACCGCCACCACCGCGUAUGCAAAAUUGCCUUGGGCCCUGGGAAAUGGUCCGAUUAUAUCAGUCCCCCACUGUUCGAAUGGGCAUGGCGAAGUGAUGGGGAUCAUAAGAUUGGUUGGCUGGUGAUGCUCUGGGGCAUGAUGCUGACAAGAAGGACAGCUAAGGACCAUGACCUGGGCAUCCACCCUCAUGGUAGGCCAGAAAUAUCCGAGCAGCAAAGCUUUUUUAACGAGCAUCCUGUAGCCGACGUGAGCACCACAAAGUCCUUCAUGAAUGUCUUGCAGGAUCUUCUCCCCUUCUUCCGGAGUGAUACAUCGCAGCCAUGGGCCGAGGUAUGACCUCUUGUACAGGAGAUCGUCCCGAAGAGCGUACCGAGCUGUUUUUCGUUGCAGUUUCCGGGACUCGGCUCGGUCUUCAGGAAGUUCACCCCGGCUGAGAAAUCGGAAUAGCGGUCCCAUCCAGGUGUCCCCUGGAUAAAUGGGACAUACAACUUCCCCCACAUAUCCUGGCUCGGCCAAGACCUUCACAAGAACUGUCUUGUUCAGGUCAGAGAAGGAGGUAGAAGCGAGCCGAGAGAGGGCAUCUGCCCUCCUGUUCUGUGACCGCGGUAUUCUUUGGAUUUCAAAGGAUUCGAAGUAUGCCACCAGCUGGAGGACUUUGGAGAGGUAGCGAUGCAUCACCUCUUUCCUAGUCUCGUAUUCGCCUAGUAUUUGGCACACAACGAGUUGGGAGUCACUAUAGGCCAAGAUGUGCGCGGCCCCUAGCUUACGAGCUAGUUGCAGGCCGGCAAUAACAGCUUCGUACUCAGCCUCAUUGUUGGAAGCGGCGAAGUCAAAUCUCAAAGCGUAUGAACAUAUUUCUCCUUGGGGGUCUUCGAGGAGCAAACCUGCUCCACUAUCCCCACUGUUAGACGAGCCAUCCACAUGUAGAAUCCAUCGCUGAGGCUCGGCAGUAGGAGAAGUGUUAGCCGAGGUACUGUCCUUCACCUCAUCAAAGGUGAACUCGGCUAGAAAGUCUGCGAGGGCCUGAGCCUUGAUUGUUGUACGAGACUCGUAAGACAAGUCAUACUCCCCCAGCUCAAUAGCCCACUUGGUGAGGCGUCCAGAGGCCUCUGGCUGUGAUAAGAUUUGCCGAAGUGGUUGGUCAGUUCUUAGGCAAAUGUGGUGGGCUAAAAAGUAGGGCUUAAGCCUACGAGCUGCAUGGAUUAAGGCCAGCACGAGCUUCUCCGCCCGGGUGUAUCUGGUCUCCGGACCUCGGAGGACUCGGCUGACAUAAUAGAUGGGCAUCUGUACACCUUCCUCCCUUAUCAACACGGCACACACAGCUUCGGCUGCAGCAGAUAAGUACAAGAACAACUUGUCCCCUGGACGAGGUGAGGUGAGUGUUGGGAGGUGGUGAAGGUAUUCUUUCAAUUGUUCAAAGGCCUGUUGACAUUCCUCGGUCCAAGAGAAACUGUCCGCCUUUUUUAGAACCUUGAAAAAUGGCAACGCCUUGGAAGCUGAUUGCGAUAGGAACCGAUUUAGGGCGGCCAACCGCCCUGUCAGUCUCUGGACAUCACGGAUGCACCGAGGUGAAGACAUUUCUUGAAUGGCUUUCACCUUGUCUGGGUUUGCUUCGAUACCCCGUCUCGAGACGAGGUAACCCAGAAAUUUUCACGAAGUGACACCGAAGACGCAUUUCUUGGGGUUCAGCAUCAUCCGCGUCUUCCUUAGGACCUCAAAGACUUCUCUCAGGUCAGAGAGGAAGGAAGAGGUCGUCUGGCUUUUGAGGAGAAUGUCGUCCACGUAGGCUUCGACAUUUCGCCCGAUCUGAGAUUUGAAGGCUUGGUUAACCAAGCGUUGGUACGUGGCCCCGGCAUUCUUUAGUCCAAAAGGCAUGGUGGUGUAGCAAUAGGUGCCUCGGUCAGUGUAAAAGGCAGUCUUCUCCUGGUCCUCUGGACUCAUGCCUAUCUGGUGGUACCCCUUAAAGGCGUCAAGAAAGCAGAGGACCUCGUAGCCCAUUGCUGAAUCCACCAAGGUGUCGACUUUGGGCAGUGGGUAGCAGUCCUUGGGACAAGCUUUAUUGAGGUCGGUGAAGUCGACGCACAUCCUCCAAGCCCCGGUGUCUUUCUUGACCAUGACCGGGUUGGAUAACCAUGUUGGGUAUUGGACUUCUCGGAUUAUUUUUGCAGGCAAGAGCUUGUCCACCUCUUCUCCGACAGCCCGGUUUCGCUCUGGGCCGAGGUGCCUCCUUUUUUGUUUGACAGGGCGUGCCUGUGGGUCAACAUUGAGCUCGUGUAUCAUGAGGUGAUGCGGAACUCCUUGGACCUCUUCUGCGGCCCAAGCAAAGACGUCCCGGUAUUCUCGGAGGAGGUUCACCAUUCCUUUCUUAACUGAGUUGGGCAAACAGGUGCCGACACGGAUCGUUUGGUCCGGAUUUAUGGGGUUCAGGGGAAUCUCCUCCACCUCAUCUCCGGCUUCCAGCCUUUGGAGCUUCACCGUUUGCUGAGGAUCGAUGCAAUCAAUCGAGAGAAUGUCUGACCUCUUUUCAGACCUCGCAUUGGAGGUGUAUGGGGAGGCUGCUUGUAGAGUGACGAGGUAACACUCCCGGGCUGCACAAACGUCGCUGCUGACCUCGGCAACCCCCGCGGGAGUAGGGAACUUAAAGCUCAGGUGAUAAGUGGAAUAUACCCCCUGCAGAGCAUUAAGCGUGGGCCGACCUAAGAGAAGGUUGUAUGGGGAGUUGGCCCUUACCACGGCGAAGUUGACCGGAAUGGUCCGGCAUCGGGGGUGGCACCCCACGGUUACCGUCAGGGUCACCAUUCCUUCGGGAUGCACAACAUGUCCCCCGAAUCCUAUAAGAGGAGUCCUUACCGGGGUCAUACUUUCCCUAGCCAGUUUGAGGUUAUCAAACGUGCGAAGGUACAUGACAUCCACUGAACUCCCUGGGUCAAUGUAGACCUUCUUCACGAUAUAGUUAUUGGUGAGCACUUCAAUCACCAAAGUUUCGUGACUGCUCGAAGCAGCUGGGACGGGGUCGCUAGACCCGUAAGUAAUCACUUCAGACAGGCGGGAGCUGGACUCGGCCUGAUCCGGGUUAGCUUGCCUGUAGGUCCUCUUUCGGGAGUUUUGACUGUCUCCUCCCGUCGGACCUCCGGCAAGGGUAUUGAUGACCCCGGCUAUAUUGGGUCCGUACCCUAAUCCUUGUCCUGAGGAUCCGUCUCGGGGAGGUCUUUUUGUCUCCCUAGGAUCCUCUGGAGGCCUGCAACUGCUCCUGGAGGGCCGCACUUCGUCUCGGCGUUGAUCACCCUGGUUAUCCCGUCGGGGUUCGUUACGUUGCUGACCUCCAGCUCGGCGGAUGAACUGCUUCAAGUGCCCCUGUCUAAUGAGAUUCUCGAUCUCCUUCUUGAGAUCGUUGCAGUCCUCAGUUUCGUGCCCAAUAUCUCGGUGAUACAGAUAGUAGAGGUUCGAGUUCCUUUUAUCCCGGCUGCCGAACAUCUUGGGAGGUGCCUUUCCAAGAUUGUUUUGUUCCAUCACGGACAGCACCCGAGACCGACUAGUGUUCAAAGGAGUCAGCUCGGACUCAGGGAUAGGUGACCUCCCCUUGGAUAUCCUGUCGAACACACUACGACGAUCUCGGCCAGGGCCUUGGAAGCCACUUCCUGUCCCCACCUCAGUUCGGCCAAGCUCUUUUCCCUUUCGGGGGUCGGCUUUCGGGCGUGCUGCUUGAACCUCCUUUUUCAUGCGGUUGAGGUUUUCGGCUUGUAUGCCCUUCUCAACCUUUAACCACAGCUCGUGGAGGGUGCGGGGAUAUUUCUUGUGAAUCCCCGUGUUGAACACCCCGGAAACGAGCCCAUGGGUGAAAGCGGCAAUGGUAACCUGCUCAUUAGGAUCAGGUAUCUGCACGCUUUCUUCAUGAAACCUCUGAACAUACGACCGAAGUGACUCACCCGGGUUCUGCUGCAUGUUCAGCAGGUAAGCCGAGGUUCGGGUCGUAGGUCGGGAUGAAAUGAACCUAUGGAGAAAUCUUUCCACCAGUCCUCCCAGGGUUGAGAUGCUCCUAGGUUCUAAUCCCCAGAACCAUUUUCGAGCUGUCCCCUGGAGGAAUACUGGGAAGGCUCGGCAUACGACGGGGUCAGGGAUGCAAUAUAAGCGGAAGGCCGAGAUGAAGGCAUGGAUAUGAUCCUCGGGAUCAUCUCGACCGUCAUAAGACGGUAUCGAGGGAAGCUUGAAGUUUGGAGGAAACCUUUCUUCGUUAAUGUCGUCAGUGAAGGGCGGGGCCCUCAUAUAAUUCACCCCGGGUAUUCCCAGGGGUCGAGAUUCCUCCUCAGGUCGUCGCCCUAGGAGUUCUCGAGAAAAUGCCUUGGUCAUGGAAGCUACCUUAGAAGUGGCCUUAGAAAAUGCCCGCUUCAAAGCACUUCGGCUGAGGCGUCUCCCAUCAGAUUCCUCGUCGGAUGAACCUUCAGGGGAUCCCUCUGACUUCCUUUUGGAGGACUCAGCUUUCUGCUUGCCCUGCCUUUUUAGGUACCUCCCCAACUCCUUAAAGAUGUUGGGGUUCUCGGUUACAAACUCGGCCAUACGUGUUAUGGCCUCUUCGUUUGCUGGCUGGGUCCUUGGGGACUCCUGCCCUUCUGAAAUAUCUUCCUGUUGGGCUGCAUUGCUUUGCUCAGUACCAAUGGUGAGAGCUUUUCUGCUCUUAGAACGCGUAGGCUUCAUACUUUGGUAUCUUUACGUUUCCCACAGACGGCGCCAAUUGAAGAGGUGAAUUCUGUACCGCUGGAGUAAACCUUCUGAGUACUCUGGGUGGUCCACUGGGACGAGGUCACCUGCUCAAGUUACUAGAGGGGCUGAAUCCCCCGGUAGAACUCCAAAACUUAAGUCAGUUCGGAAAUGAGAGAAUAUGUGAAUUGAAGAGAGUAUCAGUAUGUCUUUACCAGAUAAUUGGUCAUCAUCCCCCUUCUUAGUGGAUACCCAGGGGUAUUUAUAGGGGAUUUGUUAGGAAGAGGGACUGGCAUCACGGGUCCCUAAAGAUCUGAGACGGUCAGUGCAUCUGGUGGAUUGGACGGCUCUUUACGAAAAGGUUCGAUGGGACAUCCGCCAGUUUCAGGCGGCGUGUGUCAGAGUAGCUGUCCAUCAGAUGUCAAGCGUAUCAAGUGUCAGUUCCCAUCUUUCGUAGGCGUCCAUCAAUCAGGUGUCACCUCGGCUAAUGUCCUGAAGACUUAGGCCGAAGUGGUACACAGGCUUUCACGUCCUCGAUGAGCAAGGUGCCGAGGUGGGACCUCGGGAGGAAUCAGAGUACGAGGCUCGGGUUAUCCGAGCCGAAAUGACCAUCCUCACUCUUCCCAAUCGAGCUUGAAGAUUUGUCCAGUAGGCAGUAUUCCAGAGGAUGCCCUCUGAAGAGAUGAAUUCUCGGUGAAUGAGCCGAGGUCACCAAGAGACGAGAUCACCUGCAAAAUUUCAAGUGACCAGGGGCUUUGUUCUCUGGUCUCACUCCGAUGCUAAAGUCAGAGAGAGUUCGGGAGUUGAAUAUACGAGUUAGAUUGCGCACCUCAUUUGGAAGUGAUAGAUGAGUAUUUAUAGUGGAUGCGCCUAUGGAUGGAAUGAUAAGGUCUACCCGCUGUCAACCAUCAUGAGGCGGUUUAGGGUGGCAGUGUCAGGUGUAAGUCUGAUUAUUAAGUUGGCUGAUAGUCACAUCACUCCAUUAGUCACAAAUCACUUCAAAUAACCAAAAUGUGAGUUGUCUUGGGCAAAUGAAUAGACGAGAUGAAACAUAUCUCCAAGGUGAUCUCAUAAAUCACCUCGUUGAAAAAUACUCCGAACGAGAUAUCCCCAGUGGAAAGAGAAUGAACGGGACUGAUCAAGCUCGAGUAGGCCGAGGUGUCUACACCCUCCAUACAAAAAUUCUUAUCUUUGAGGAAAUAUUUAAGCGCCAAUUUACCAUAACUCAUUCCAAAAGUUCUUCGCUUUACUAUUUGAAUAAGAUUCUUCUCCUCCCCCUUCCAGCUUUCCCACCCUCCUUGCCAAGUAAUCUACUGACCUCAAAAUUUCCACUCUAUGUAUAAAGCCACACCACCUCAUCUUUCGGCCAUGAUAGGAGAAUUUUUAACAGAUGAUCCAUUUCAUAGUUACGCGAAAGAGCCUUUCGAGAAUGCAAUUUCCAACAGGCAAAAGUAUGAGGUGGAAAUACUUAAAAUAUAGGAAUACAGAAAUAAAAUUAGAGUAAACUAGUAGGGCUAGAAUAGUUUUUCGUAGCUAAACAUUCCUACUUUUGUAAUGGAACCAACUUCAUCCGUGUAUUCUUGAAAGGACCUAAAUUAUCAUCAAAAGAUUCUUUAGAACUCUUCCAUGCACUAAAUUAAUGUUCAAAUCUUGUCCAUCACAUCACAAUGAAAUAUAAUAUAGUGCACUUAUUUGAUUUGAUGAUUCAAACCUCAAGUCCAUACAACCCUCUUUGGUUUCUGUAAGUUAGUAUAGUAGUACAUUUGUUUUGUUUUGUUUGGUGUUUCACUCAAAAUCCUCAUGCAAGCCUCUUUUCCCACAACAGAUCUUCUGUCCCACACUCUGUGCCAUUCUCUGUCCCACUUUUUAUUAUAUUGCUAUUUCUCCUUCAUAAACAUCAUGUUUUAGUUCUUUUUUGUUUAUUUAUGAUUCAAUAACUAUUAAUUCAGUAAAAAAUAAAUACAACAGUUUCAAAAAAGUAAUAUAUAAUAUAAAAUUAAAAAAUACAGCAAAAAAUGCAUAAAAAAUCUCAUUUUUUAUGCAUUUUGAUUUUUUGAGUUUGUUAAAUUUUGUGUAUUACUGAAUUAAUAGUUAUUGGAUCUUAAGAAAAUAAAAAAGAACUAAAACAUGAUAUUUAUAAAGGAGAAAUAGCAAUAUAAUAAAAAGUGGGACAAAAAAUGACACAGAAUGUGGGACAGAAGAUCCGUUGCGCUCUUGUCCACAUAUUAUUGAUUAGUAUAUGAGUAUUAUAGACUGUUGCUAUUACCACAAAAAAAAAACUUCAUAGGAUUAUUUGGCAACGUUUGGUUGACUCACAUAAACCAGUUGGCUCAGUCCAAUGGCACAUUCAAUUCCACCAUUUUCGUCUUUUCCUUUUUCUUUUACAAAAUUCCACGUAAAAAAAAAAAUUUAAGAGACGAUCAGAAAAGGAAAGAGAGGACCAGCACCGGAAAUUGGCAAAGAAGUAUGGCUUCCCAGAUCGUUGGACGGCUCCUUCGAAGCACCACCCGCCAUAACCCUAUCAUCCCUAAAUCUAGCAGCUUCUUCCAUCGCAAUAUCUCCGUCGACUCUACCUCUGAGUCCAAUCUCAUUCGUGCCACUCUUUUCCCCGACGAUGGCAUCGACCCCGAAAUUGCCGAGUCCUUGAAAGAGGUAGUAGUCUUCCUUCCUCACUUCAAUCUGUCUCUCUGCGUUUAUUCCCCUGUAUAAUUAUAUCUUCUUAUUUGUGCCCGUCUUCGCGCUAUGUUAAAGUUACCCUGCAAGUGUGGACGCUGGUGCAUCACAAUUUUAGCGAAGAGGACCAGGUAAACAGUUGCUUAGGGACAGGGCCUCCAAAAGCAAAAGGUUGUUUGGAAAUUUUGAGAGCCAACAAGGCGACAGAGUCAUAAAUAAAGCAAUUCACAAUUUCUUUUGCUGAGAUGGAAGGAGAGGAGACUUCUUUUGUCUGUUUCAUACUAUAGCUACUUCACUGGAUAGCCAUAUCUGAUGUCACUACCGUCUCAUUCCACGCUACCGUUUACUAUGGAGUACUUGACAACAAUACAUGCUAGGUUGUAUUUGGAUUGCAUUUUUCUAGACUUUUUGUAGAAAAAUUAUUGUAACGAUUUGAUGUAUGUGAGGUAAAAAAAUGAUAGAAAAAUAUGUUCACAAAAAAUAUAACAAUUUUUUAACGAAAAAUAGCUGUCCAAACACAAUUGCCCGUUUCGGCAACUUUCAUUCUUUCCCCUAUAAUACUUACUACUGAGUACUAUUUUGCUCGUGAAUUUCAUUUUACAUACCAACUCUUCUUUUUUCGUUUCACAUGUGAUUCGGUCAUGAGCAAAGUGGAGUACAUUUCAACUCCAUCCCACCAACAAAGCAGCUUUUCUCUUUUUAUUUUAAAUAAAUAAAGUGAUUAAUAUAUAAAUAAUCUCCUAAUAAAUUCCUCUCAUCUAAUUGACUCGGAUGAAUAAGUUGUGUUCUACUUUAAGCCAAAUGAAAACUUAAACAAAUAUAAUCAACUAACUCUAACGUAGUUGACCACCACAUGUCUUUGUGGGUAAGAGGUCAAGAUUUCAAACAUUAUCCUUCAUCAAAAGUUAUUACUUAAUGUGGAUUCUUUUAGAUUCAUAUAGGUGUUUCUUGCAUCCGCGUGGUCCAAUGAUGAUUUAGUUUCAAUCGAUUCUCCGUGAUUCUAUUGGAUUACCCUCCUAGAAUACACUAGAGUAUGAGUAAGUGUAGAUGACGAUAAUGGAUAAAAAAAAGAAAAUUUAAACAAAUAUUAGCACUACUAAGUUAAUCCAAGGAACACUUGCUGCAAUUCCGAUAAAGAGCACCGGUAAAUGUCACCCUCGCUUUUUCUUAAAAGUAUCAAAGCGCAAAUUCGGUGGCUGAGGGAGCACUACUGUCUACUGGCUGAAGAUUUUGAUACAGGGGGCCGGCCGGAGGAUGGGGUUGGAAUAGAAGUUACUAACACAUACUAUUAUUGCUCUAUGUUUGUCUUAUCAGAGAGAUUACUGUUUUCUAGAUCUUCUUAAUAAGGUAAAUAAUGACAAUGAUCUCCUACAAAAAAAAAGGCAGUGAUCAGCAAUUUACUGUGCAAAAAUUAAAUUAUGGAGGUUCCUUUUGUGUUUACGACCAGCUAGUACGUGAACGUGAUGAUGAUGUGCACUUAGAAAUGAAUAGGCUGGGAGAUUAACCACCACCACCGUCACUAAUCACUAUGCAUCUCGUUCGUUCUGUGAAAGGGAUAGGUAUUUAUUUGGUAGAGUUUGCCACUUUAAGAGAGAGAGAAUGGGGAGAUGAUGAUGAUGAUAAGAACUGAAGCCAGCUUUUCCGUAGGAUUGAUUGAAAGCAAGAAAAUGAUACAGCCAGUGAAGUCUACAUGCAAUGAUCAACAUCAUCCAUCAACGGAAAUGGGGCAGGAACCUUAAGGUUCUCGGCCAUGAUGUGGCCUCAGAAUUUUGUGCGGCUCAUAUUACAGCAUGUAACUGGAUUUUCACUCUCUUUUUAUCUGUCUUUUUAUCUACAGCAUGUGGCCUCCAUCAACUCUCUUUUUAUCUCCAUCUGUGUAACUCCGUCGUCAACUAAUGAAAUAGAUGGGGAGAAAUUCUACAUUUGUUCAUUUGUUUACUAGUUCUUUGAACAUCUCAAUAAUGGAUGAAUUAAGUAAUACAAGCAUUAAGGAAAUUUUGAAUUAGGAUUUGUCAAAGUAUCAAAUGGUGCCUAUUAUGUUGAUUUUAGGUGACGAGACAGAUAAUUUUAGAAGUUCUCUUGCUGUGAUGUGAAUCCCAGAAUUUUUUUUGUCUCAAAGAUAACAUUUGUAUAAUCUAACCUAACCUAAUUUAAGGAGAAGUUCUCUUGUUGUAAUGUAAAUUCCAGAAAUUUUUUUUUUAUCGCAACGAUAACAUUUGUAUAAUUUACUCUAAGGGAGGGGGAAUCGACGGAAUUUUCUAUCGAAGAAAGCUACAGUUAAGGGACAGCCACAAUUAAGUGGCAAGCUGGGAGACAACUGUGUGAAUCUCAUAAUCCUAUGUGUCAAAGCGUCAACUGUCAACUAACCUUUGUAUGUUUAUCCCUUAAUGACGUCUUCCAACCUUACUCAAAAAAGAGAGAGAGAGAGAGAGAGACUACCAGAAGUCUCUUCCUUUAAAAUUACUAGGAGAAAAAUAAACAUGGAGCGAAAUUUCAAAAAUAGCCACCGUAUUAAGUACGCUACGUCCUUUAUACCCUAUUGGUGAUUCCUAACUUUAAGGAACUCGUAUGGUAUAUAUUACUAAUGAUGAUUAUGCAAGUCAUCGUCUUUGACCGCAGAGCAGAGAUUGAGUCUGAACUCGUUCCCUGCAGCAUCUCACCAACUACCAAUGGAUUAUCUAAUUGAAUUUCCUGAAAUGAUUGAACGGCAACUACAAUACCAUGGAAAAGAAAUAAUUUUUUUUUAUCUGCGUAUUAUUUGAAAUCAAAUUUAGGAACAUGAGUUCAGACUGUAUCUAAUUAGAUUUUCUGGACUAAUUUUUCGUCUUUAUCAUUCCUAUUAAUUGGUUGUACUUUCCCAAAGACAUGUGGAAAAACAUUUUUUUUAAACUAUCCACAAAUUAGAGCAGCCACCCGAGUUCAAGGGAUUUCAAAUCCUCUGUCCUCAAAGUAAUCUCUUUUCCCUCUGUCUCUUAUUUGUACAGCUGCCAUGUGUCUCUAGAGGUUGAAAUAAUGAACAAUAUAGCCCUCUCUUUUUUUAUUUUCUUUUCAAAAAGUAUACACUAACUUUUGUCCCAGCUGAAGAUUAAUGCAUUAUGUAAAUGUUUUCCUAGAAAUAUGAGAAACGUUUCAAGUGUCGUAUUUAUGAUGAAUAUUGCGGAUUGCUUAUUAUUGAAUUCCAUGCAUAUUCCCUUUCCAAAUUUAUACACUUGUAAAACUGCAGCCUCACUCUCGGUUAUACAUUUUUCAAUUUUGUGUAAAUGAUGCUAUAGCAUAUAUUAGAUGGUGAAAGAUCUCGCAAUUCACGAAGAAGCUGGUAUAAAAGUCAAAGGAAUAAUGGCCAAAUUUGUAAACUGAUUAUUAUUGAUUUAUUUGAGUUUAGAUUAACAAAAAAUAAGAGACACGUGAUAACUGUAUAAAUAAGGGACAGAGGAGACAGAGGAUUUGAAGCCAGUUCAAGGUGCCUAACACUUAAACCAAGUGCACUCGCGAUUGUACGGUGUUUUUUGAACUUCCAUUCAAUCACGCAUGUAAUUGCAACUGCAUUUGUGCGCAGCCCCACUCCCCGCUCCUAAUUAGUACUGACUAGUCUAAAGACCCGUUCUAUGCACGGCAAUAAAGAAUGUUAUGAAAAUAAAUAAAUAGUUAUGAGAAUAUAUAAUACAUAAAAAUUUUAAUAAACAAUAGUUCAGCCUAUGAAAUGUUAAGCAAUUUUUAGCUACCUCUUCUUGCUUCUACCUGUACAAAUCCCAUCCCUUCGUCGCUGAAAAAAAUUUAAAACAAAAAACAAGUUUUAGCUACUAUCGUCUACACAGUACAAACAUGCAUUACAAAAAAAAUGAUAUAACACGUAAACCACGUCAUAUUAAUUGUAAUAGAUCUAAGACCAAAUUAUAUUUGCUAAAUGCCAAUUCAUUUCUCAGCCAUCAUGUCCAACAUUCAAAAAUUUCAAAUGGCCCAAAAAUUUCAAAAAUUUUUGGUAUUGAAAUUAAUAAUAAAUCAAAAAGAAAUGGCCCAGAAACACAACUAAAUUAUGAUAAUUUUACUACUCGAAAAAAUUCAUAAAUUCUAAAUAAAUUAUUUCAACAUUUUCUUUUCUAUCUUAUAAAUCUAAAUCUAUAAUAAAUUACUAUCAAAAGUAUCAUAUUAUAAUGAUAAAAUUAUUUUAUAACCAUUCAUCAAAUAGUAGGUAUGAACAUGAAAAAUUUGGCACCUUUACCUUAAAAUUAUACUAGAUAAUCUUAUAAUUAUAUAGAAAAAUAAAUUAAAACCCAUUACACAAGGGCAUUUUUGGAUAUUCAUUUAAAAAUUUGAUCAAAUCAAUAUUAUUUUAAAACUUUGUUAUUAAAACUAUCAAAUCAAGGAAGGUAAAAGUAAUUUUUCAAAUCUUAGAAGAGUUGAGUGAAAUUGUCAGGAACUUUGCCUCGCCUCCUCAGGGGAGGUUUCUGAAAUUUUCCCUAUUUUCUAACUACAUGACUUAAGUGCUUUCCGGGGAAUUUGGGGGUUAUUACACUCUUAGUAGCAGGGUUCUCUCCAGUGUAGUUUAUCCCACAUCGGGGUUGGGGGUUGGGUUAGUUGGGUAGAUAAGUCCCUAGAGACUCUCCAGAGUUGCCGGCUUUUGAGGGUUCUUCUGGGAUUAGGUUUAUCAAAUUCAACAAAAGUCAAUUUACUGGCGUUGAAAAAAAAGACUUAAGUGAUAUGUGAAGGAGAAUAAAAUCAAAUGAUGGGUUGGUGUAAUGACUAAAAUUUCAAGGAAACUACCAAUCAAAUGAUGGGUUGGUGUAAUGACUAAAAAUUUCAGGGAAACUUUUCAGGGAAACUAUCCAGGAAAGUAUCUGAAAAUUGUCAAAUCUUUUCACCGGGCCACCAAUCACAAUCAGUGAAAAGCCCAUGUACCAUGCCAUUCCCACGUAUACCCAACCAACCGUCCAAUUUAUGAUCGAUCAAUGGUCCUGAUUCAUAUUCUUUUUUUUUUUUUUUUUUUUUUUUUGUCGACGGAGUGGGGUGUCCGGGUCAAGUCCGUAAAGGCGGCCCGACUAAUCCCCACUCCGGCCCGGUCCAGCGCCCCAACCAGACCUAGCACGUUAAAUGCACGGCGAACUGAUGUUGCUGCGGAGGUUCGACCCCAGGACCUAACGGUCCCGAGGAGGAGGCGCCAACCACCAGCUCAUUCACGUGGGGGCCGUCCUGAUUCAUAUUCAACCAAGCCUGCUUAGCAACGACUGCCACCAUCCCCCGCCCUCACUCUUUCUCCCCCUUGUGCUCUCAAUUCUCACCUACCAAUUCUUGCAUCUAUACAUUUCGGAGGCCUUUUGCAACUACAGCCCUGGAACUUCCUGCCCACCGGCAUUAGCAGUUGUUCCUCUCGUAACACAAAGUAGUAGUAUACGAAGAGGUCGUUUUUGUCCUGCUGGAGUGGAUCACCCGAGCUGGAGAAGACCUCUGAUCCUAGGUGGUUGACUCAGACGAGGUCACCUGCUCAAAUUGUAAGAGGGACUAAAGUCCCCGGUGUAACUCCGAAGCUUAAGUUAGUUCGGUAUUUUAAAGAGCAAUAUGCUGGAGAGCAAUAUGGCUAAUGUUACCAGAAAUUUGGCCGUCCCCCUCUCAGUAGAAGUCUUGAGUAUUUAUAGAGGAUGGACAGGGGAGAGGGACUGCUUGCACAGGUCCCUAGAGAUCUGGCAGAGUCAGCGUAUCAAAGUGACUCAAUGGACUCUGCAGAAAGGUGCGCCGGGACAGCUGUGUCAGUCGGCGCGUGUCAGAGCAGCUUUGCCAGAAAUGUCAGAGGUAUCAGAGGUGUCAGAGGUCAUGUUUCACAACUCCGGUUGUCUGGUCACCAUAAUUGACUUCGGCUAAGUAAAGGAAAACCUUAGCCGAGGCUGUAAUUAAGCCGAAGUCCUAACGCGAUGGCGAACGGCCGAGGUGGUCAGAGCCUAAGAGACAUAGGGCGGGACCCCAGCUCUGCCGACCUGGAAAUACCCUCCUCACUAAGCCCCCCAAGCCUCGGGAAGGGCGAGGUCGCGGUACCCCGAAGUGGCUACUUCCCGGGGCUGAUAAGGGUGUAAGACACGGAGUGUUGGGACACGUCAUUACCGUGCGGAUGAGACUGAAUGAGGGGUGAAAGGACGGCUGUCAGCUAUAAUGAUAACUCCGUGGAUGGACGUGAAAUCAACGGUCAGAUGAACAGUCCUCAUUAAAUGAGGAGAGAGGUUGCGUCCUUACGGAUCCCAAAGGUUUUGCCCUUUCAUCUCCUCCCUGUUAGCCUAUAAAUAGGGGUCCCUUUUUACCAAUUUACUCUUCACCAGAAAUCAAGAAUCACCACAGAGCUCUAUUUCUUCGUCUUUUCACUUCGGCACACUUUCAAACCACAUCCUGAGUAAGUUCACUUCUUCUUCUUCUUCAUUUCUCCCUCUAGCAAUGGCUAGAACUGCCCGUACUCAUAGAGAGACAGUGAGGCCCGACUUCGCCGAAGCAGAAAGGCCUGAACCCUCCGAAGAGAGAACGGUUUCUGAGGCCGGGGAAGGGGGGCCGAAGCGUCUCAUCAGGCCGGGACACCCCAGGGAGAAAGCGAGGGAACCGAGGUCGAGGGGGAGGUCCUCUACAACGACGACCUCGGCGACGAAGUUCCAAGGGACGAGGGAGUGCAAGAGCCUACUACUCCUCCGAACCUGGAAGCAAUUGACUACGGCAUUGUUCCUCAAUUCGGCAGCGUAAUGACUGAAGCAAUGAUCAUCGAGGUGGUUCGUCAGUAUCCCUGGAGGAGGGACUACAGUAUUUAUACUCCUCAGACGAACCAGUCAGCCGAGCUCCCUCCACGAGGUAGAGUGGCCAUAUAUAUCGAUCAGUUGGAGGCAGGGCUAAGGAUUCCAACCACAAGGUUCCUCCGGGACUGCCUGAGAUAUUGGGGGGUGAGAAUCACUCAGCUCGUCCCCAACGCAAUCCGGGUCCUGGUCGGCUUCCAGAUGUUGUGCCGACAUCAAGAAAUAACUCCCACAGUCAACCUCUUCCGUCGUUGCUACUCGCUCAAGAAUAGUGGGACUGAGAAGGGGUGGUACUACUUCGGGAACAAAGUCCCGAAGUUGGUGGUAGAUGCACCUUCCUCCAUCAAAGAAUGGAAGAGGAACUUCAUUUUUGUCCCGGCUGGUGACUUCCCCAGGGGGUUCUGGUGGAGGCCGCCUACUCCGGUCAAAGAGACCUCUCCGGGUAAACUGGAGGAGGAUAACUUCAGAAAGCUGACGGGGUCGGGCCUCUGGAUCAAUUGUUGGGAUUUUCCGGAGUCAGUUCUUGUCGACGGCGGCAUCAGCCGAGCUCUUAUCAGCCCGGAUCGUCCGCCAUUCUAUUCUAAUAGGCUUGAAAAGCAUUGUACUUCCUUACUCCUUACUUCGUCUAUUUUUUUCCUUGAUUCUAACUAACUCUCCCUCUAUGCUUCGCAGUGAAGAAGGUUUCCGAUCUGAUUACCGCGGGGCCUUCCGGGGUCAGCAAGAGGCCGUCCAAGCGUAAAGACCAGGCCGAACCAUCCACUCGGCCGAAGAAGAAGACCACCUCGGCCCACACCACUACGGUGACGGCAAGCCGGGGGUCUCCCGUGAUAAUCACCGGGGAAGGCUCCCGCACUUCAUCGAUUCCUGCCGGGGUGGGUCGUACUUCGGCUAUACCCGUUGGGGUGCCGAUCAGGGGGAUAACAAUUGCCACUCCACCUCGGGGCAGAGGGACAACGGCAUUUCCCGUGGUCCCCGUGACGGGGUCCUCUCUCUUUAAUCUUCACAACGUCCCCUCACAAGAGGCCGGGGAGGAUAAAAGGCACUCCGGCGCGCAAUGGUGUCCGGAGUGGGAGCUCAACGUGAAUGACCGCUGUAAGGACCCCUUGGUCGCUCAGGAGCUUCUGGUCCACUCAGUCCUGCCCCGAGAUAAUACCUACGCCCGGAAGCUUUCCCCAGGCGAACUGAUGCAGAGUGCUUCCGUCUCCUGGGCAUCCACCACUGCUUUCCUCGCCGAACUGACCCAACGCUAUACAAAGUUGGUCGAAAACUAUCAACCUUCUGCCGAGCUCGAGAAGAAGGUUGCCGAGCUUGAAGAAAAACUGAAGGCGACCGAGCAGGAGCGCGACAAGGCCGAAGCAACGUGAGAACAGGCCGAGGCUACCAAGAACUCUUUGAUGACUGCCCUUGCCGAAGAAAAAGAUAGAAGGGCUCAGGAAGAAGAGUCAACCAAAGCGGCCAUCGAAGAAGCGGGGACCUCGGCGCUGGAAGCCUUCCGGAAAUCAGAGGGUUUCCUCAAGGAUCUCGGCGAGCUCACCUUGCCGAGCUUCAUGUUCGGAUACACUUCGGCAGUUCACGAUACGGCUCCCUUUCUCACUCCGGAUCAGCUGGAGUCCCUUCAUGACAAGGAACAUUUCAACGAGGAUGCCAAGGAACUAUUCGAUCGUAUGGCCGAAGGCAUCCGGACUGGAAGGGAUCUGACCGAGGUAAAGGAGGAGUUCAACAAAUGGCUAUCUGAAUUUGAUCUGGACGGGGCCGAACUCCAAGGUGACGACAUCGGCAGUGAUGGCGGAGGUGAUGGCGGAAGUGAUGGCGGAGCUGAGGCCACCGGAGAUAACCAGGAAGCCGAAGCACGGGGCGCGUAGAUAAUAGGCUGAUUUUUGCAAUAGGUUAGCCGAGGUCAUAGAUAACCUUGGCCAUUCGCUUGUAACUCUGAGCCGAGGCCACAUGUGACCUCGGCUUUUUGCUUUUCGUAUCUCAAUAUAACUGGUUUUUUGACUUGCAUUUUGUCUUCUUUUUUGGCUACUGCUUUGUCCCCUUAUUUUUCACUUAAGACAGAAUGAGAAUAAGUGAGAAAUAAUUUAAAGAGGUGAGAUAUAAAAACACGUACCCCUCACGGGUAAUACAACUUAAGGUUCUCAGCAUACCAGGUUCGGGGCACCCGCGAACCAUCUCGGUAAGCUAGUUUACAAUAUCCAUUUUGGCUGGACUCAAUAACUCGGUAGGGUCCCUCCCACUUGGGGUUGAGUUUUCCCUGGGGCUCAGCUCGGCUGACAGAGUUUUUCCGGAGCACAAGGUCUCCCGGACUAAAUCUUAAGUGUUUGACCCGAGCAUUGUAAUAGCCAGCUAGGAUAUUUUUGUAUGUCGCAACUUUGGCCGCGGCCAUAUCACGCUUCUCUUCGGCGAGAUCGAGGUCAACACGCCGCUCCUCUUCAUUGACUUCGGCAGCAUACGCAGCCAUUCGCGGGCUAGGUGUGAUGAAUUCAGCUGGAACGACGGCCUCGGACCCAUAAGUUAGGGAAAACGGCGUUUCUUGGGUCGCUGACCUCGGCGUAGUCCGGUAGGACCACAGCACGCUGGGGAGUUCUUCCAUCCACGAUGAUCCAGCCCGGUGGAGCCUGGUCUUGAGGCCAUGGAGGAGAGUUCGGUUGAAGUUUUCGGCUUGUCCAUUCGCCUGAGGGUGCCCUACCGAGGUGAAGUGUUGCUUGAUCCCCAAGUUCUCGCACCAUGCCUUGAAAGGGUUAUCAGCAAACUGCUUUCCAUUAUCCGAGAUCACAACUCGAGGUAAUCCGAAGCGGCAGACCACGUUUUUCCAGAAAAAUUUUUGGACAGCCAAUCCAGUGAUGCUUCUCAGGGGUUCAGCCUCGACCCAUUUAGUGAAAUAAUCUACCGCCACCACCACGUAGGCAUAGUUGCCUGGGACCCUAGGGAAUGGACCGAUUAUGUCGGUCCCCCAUUGUUCGAAGGGCCAUGGCGAGGUGAUGGGGAUCAUAAGAUUAGUCGGUUGGUGGUGCUCAGGGGCAUGGUGUUGACAAGAAGGACAACAGAGCACCAUGACCUGGGCGUCCACCUUCAUGGUGGGCCAAAAGUACCCAAGAAGCAAAGCUUUCUUCACCAGCAUCCUGAAGCCGACGUGGGCACCACAGAGUCCCUCAUGAAUGUCCUCAAGGAUCCUCUCGCCUUCUUCCGGGGUGAUACAUCGUAGCCAUGGGCCGAGGUAGGACCUCUUGUACAAGAGGCCCUGCCGGAGGGUGUACCGAGCUGCUUUUCGUUGAAGCUUCCGUGAUUCAGCUCGGUCUUCGGGGAGCUCACCCCGACUGAGAUAUCGAGUCAAGGGCCCCAGCCAUGUGUCCCCAGGGUAAACGGGGUACACGACCUCAGCUAAAUAUCCCGGCUCGGCUAGAACUUCUACGAGAACCGUCUUGUUCAGAUCGGAGAAAGAGGUGGAAGCAAGCCGGGAGAGGGCGUCAGCCCUUCGGUUUUGUGACCGCGGUAUUCUUUGGAUUUCAAAAGACUCGAAGUAUGUGGCCAGCUGGAGUACCUUGGAGAGGUAACGCUGCAUCACCUCUUCCCUGGCCUCGUAUUCGCCUAGUAUUUGGCACACGACGAGUUGGGAGUCGCUAUAGACCAUGAUAUGCGCGGCCCCGACCUUACGAGCUAUUUGCAGACCGGCAAUGACGGCUUCGUAUUCGGCUUCGUUGUUGGAAGCGGCAAAAUCGAACCUCAAGGCGUACGAGCAAAUUUCCCCUUGGGGAUCUUCAAGGAGCAAACCGGCUCCGCUACCCUCGCUAUUGGAUGAGCCAUCCACAUGCAAGGUCCAUCGCUGGGGCUCGGAGGUGGACGGGGUGACAGCCUGGGUGGUAGCCGGGAUGGUCUCACUCACUUCUUCAAAGGUAAGCUCGGCCAGAAAAUCUGCGAGAACCUGGGCUUUAAUUGCUGUGCGGGGCUCAUAAGAUAAGUCGUACUCUCCCAGCUCGAUGGCCCACUUGGUGAGGCUUCCAGAGGCCUCCGGUCGCGACAGGAUCUGCCGAAGUGGUUGAUCUGUCCGUAGACAGACGUGAUGAGCCAAGAAGUACGGCUUAAGCCUACGAGCUGCGUGAAUUAAGGCCAGCACAAGUUUCUCCGCCUGAGUGUACCUGGUCUCAGGACCUCGGAGGACUCGGCUGACAUAAUAAACGGGCGUUUGGACACCCUCCUCCCUUAUCAGUACGGCACUCACAGCUUCAGCUGCAGCGGAUAAGUACAAAAAUAACUUGUCCCCUGGGCGAGGUGAGGUGAGUGUUGGGAGGUGGUGGAGGUAAUCCUUUAACUGUUCAAACGCCUGUUGGCACUCUUCCGUCCAGGAAAAUUUGUCAGCUUUCUUGAGGACUUUGAAGAAUGGCAGUGCCUUGGAGGCUGACUGCGAUAAGAACCGAUUCAAGGCGGCCAGACGCCCUGUCAGUCUCUGGACGUCUCGGACACACCGUGGUGAGGACAUUUCUUGGAUGGCCCUCACCUUGUCUGGAUUUGCUUCAAUACCCCGCCUGGAGACGAGGUAGCCUAGGAACUUUCCCGAAGUGACCCCGAGGACACAUUUCUUGGGGUUCAACAUCAUUCGGGUCUCCCGAAGGACUUCCAGGACUUCCUUCAGGUCGGCAAGAAAUGCUGAAGUUGUCUGGCUUUUGAGGAGGAUGUCAUCCACAUAGGCCUCGACAGUUCGGCCGAUCUGAGAUUUAAAAGCUUGGUUGACCAAGCGUUGAUACGUGGCCCCGGCGUUCUUUAGUCCGAAAGGCAUGGUGGUGUAACAGUAUGUGCCUUUGUCCGUAUAGAAGGCGGUCUUUUCUUGAUCCUCCGAACUCAUCCCGAUCUGGUGGUACCCUUUAAAGGCGUCAAAAAAGCAGAGGACUUCAUAUCCCAUUGCCGAGUCCACCAAGGUGUCGACCUUAGGCAAUGGGUAACAAUCCUUGGGGCAAGCCUUGUUGAGGUCGGUGAAGUCGACGCACAUUCUCCAGGCCCCGGUGUCCUUCUUCACCAUGACCGGGUUGGAUAACCAGGUCGGAUAUUGGACCUCCCGGAUGAUCUUUGCGGGGAGGAGCUUAUCCACUUCUUCGCCAACAGCUCGGCUGCGUUCAGGGCCGAGGUGCCUUCGUUUUUGUUUGACCGGGCGGACCUGGGGAUCGACAUUCAGCUCAUGUAUCAUGAGGUGAUGUGGAACUCCUUGAACCUCCUCCGCGGCCCAGGUGAAGACGUCCCGGUACCUUCUUAGGAGGUCUACCAUACCUCUUUUAACAGGAUCGGGCAGUCGGGUACCAACGCGAACUGUCUGAUCAGGCUUCGUGGGGUCCAGAGGGAGUUCUUCCACCUCAUCCCCAGUUUCCAGCCUUGGGAUCUUCUCAGCUCGCUGAGGAUCAAUGCUAUCUAUCGAAAGGAUAUUUGACCUCUUCUCAGGCCUUGCCCCGGAGGUUGAUGGGAAGGUUGCUUGUAGAGUGGCGAGGUAACAUUCUCGGGCAGCGCAGACGUCGCUGCUGACUUCGGCCACUCCCGCUGGAGUAAGAAACUUGAAGCUUAAGUGAUAGGUGGAGUACACUGCCCGCAAAGCAUUGAGUGUAGGCCGGCCGAGGAGUAAGUUGUACGGGGAGUCACCCCCGCUGACGCCCUACAGUUACUGUCAGAGCCACCAUCCCUUCGGGGUGCACAAUGUGUCCCCCGAACCCAACAAGAGGAGUCCUUACCGGGGUCAUGCACUCCCUGGCCAGUUUAAGGCUUUCAAAGGUGCGGAGGUACAUGACGUCCACUGAACUUCCCGGGUCAAUGUAAACCUUUUUCACGAUGUAGUUAUUGGUGAGAAUUUCAAUCACCAAGGCUUCAUGACUGCUGGAGGCGGCCGGGACGGGGUCACUAGGCCCGUAAGUGAUCACUUCGGAUAGGCGAGAAUUGGCCUCGGCCUGGUCCGGGUUGGCUUGUCUGUAGGUCCUCUUCCGGGAGUUCUGGCUAUCUCCUCCCGUCGGACCGCCGGCAAUGGUGUUAAUGACUCCGGCAAUAUUUGGCCCAUAUCCCAGUCUUUGACCUGAGGAUCCAUCUCCGGGUGGCCUUUUCGGCUCCCUAGGAUCCUCGGGAGGUCGGCAACUGCUUCUUGACGUCCGCCUCUCAUCACGGCGUUGGUCACCCCGCUUAUCGCGUCGAUUCUCAUCACGCGAAUGACCUCCACUUCGGCGAAUGAACUGCUUGAGGUGGCCUUGUCGGAUGAGGUUCUCAAUCUCCUUUUUGAGAUCGUUGCAUUCCUCUGUUUCAUGUCCGAUGUCCCGGUGAUACAGACAGUAGAGGUUCGAGUUCCUCUUGUCUUUGCUGCCCCACAUUUUGGGAGGGGCCUUUCCGAGGUUGUUUUGUUCCAUUAUAGACAGCACGCGGGAUCGGGAGGUGUUCAGGGGAGUCAGUUCGGACUCUGGGAUGGGCGACUUCCCCUUAGAGAUCCUGUCGAACACACUACGACGAUCUCGGCCGGGACUCUGGAAGCCGCUUCCAGUCCCAGCUUCACCUCGGCCAAGCUCCUUCCCUUUUCGGGGGUCGGCCCUUGGGCGAGCAGCUUGGACUUCUUUCUUCAUGCGAUUGAGGUCCUCGGCCUGUAUGCCCUUUUCGACCUUCAACCACAGUUCGUGGAGUGUGCGGGAAUACUUCUUGUGGAUCCCCGUGUUGAACACUCCAGAUACAAGCCCAUGAGUGAAUGCAGCAAUAGUGACUUGCUCAUUGGGGUUAGGUAUUUGUACGCUUUCCUCAUGGAACCUCUGGACGUACGACCGAAGUGACUCCCCCGGGUUUUGCUGCAUAUUCAGCAGAUAAGCCGAUGUCCUGGUCGUAGGUCGGGAGGAGAUGAAUCGAUGGAGGAAUCUUUCCACCAGUUCCCCCAGGGUGGAGAUGCUCCUAGGUUCCAAUCCCCAGAACCAUUUUCGAGCAGUGCCCUGGAGGAACACUGGAAAAGCUCGGCAUAUGACUGGGUCAGGGAUGCAAUAUAAACGGAAAGCCGAGAUGAAGGCGUGGAUGUGAUCCUCGGGAUCACCUCGGCCGUCAUAAGAUGGUAUAGAGGGAAGCUUGAAGUUUGGAGGAAGCCUUUCCUCGUUAAUGUCAUCAGUGAAGGGCGGGGCCCUCAUAUAAUUCACCCCGGGUAUUCCCAGGGGCCGAGGUUCCUCCUCGGGUCGUCGGCCUAGGAGUCCUCGGGAAAAUGCCUUGGUCAUGGAAGCUACCUUAGAAGUGGCCUUAGAAAGUGCCCGCUUUGAGGCACUUCGGCUUAGGCGCCUUCCAUCAGAUUCUUCGUCAGAUGAACCUUCGGGAGACCCAUCUGAUUUUCUUUUAGAGGUCUCAGCCUUCUGCUUGCCUUGCCUCUUUAAAUAUCUCCCCAACUCCUCAAAGAUGUUGGGAUUCUCGGUUACAAACUCGGCCAUACGCGUUAUGGCCUCUUCGUUUGCGGGCUGAGUCCUUGGGGGCUCCUGCCCUUCUGAAAUAUCUUCCGGUUGGGCUGCAUUGCUUUGCUCAGCACCAAUGGUGAGAGCCCUCCUGCUCUUAGAACGCGUAGGCUUCAUAUUUUGGUAUUCUCGCGCUUCCCACAGACGGCGCCAAUUGAAGAGGUCGUUUUUGUCCUGCUGGAGUGGAUCACCCGAGCUGGAGAAGACCUCUGAUCCUAGGUGGUUGACUCAGACGAGGUCACCUGCUCAAAUUGUAAGAGGGACUAAAGUCCCCGGUGUAACUCCGAAGCUUAAGUUAGUUCGGUAUUUUAAAGAGCAAUAUGCUGGAGAGCAAUAUGGCUAAUGUUACCAGAAAUUUGGCCGUCCCCCUCUCAGUAGAAGUCUUGAGUAUUUAUAGAGGAUGGACAGGGGAGAGGGACUGCUUGCACAGGUCCCUAGAGAUCUGGCAGAGUCAGCGUAUCAAAGUGACUCAAUGGACUCUGCAGAAAGGUGCGCCGGGACAGCUGUGUCAGUCGGCGCGUGUCAGAGCAGCUUUGCCAGAAAUGUCAGAGGUAUCAGAGGUGUCAGAGGUCAUGUUUCACAACUCCGGUUGUCUGGUCACCAUAAUUGACUUCGGCUAAGUAAAGGAAAACCUUAGCCGAGGCUGUAAUUAAGCCGAAGUCCUAACGCGAUGGCGAACGGCCGAGGUGGUCGGAGCCUAAGAGACAUAGGGCGGGACCCCAGCUCUGCCGACCUGGAAAUACCCUCCUCAUAUACCAUUACUAGUUAGUAGUCACCACUGCUACUGCUUCAGUUCCUUUUAUCACUUGCUUUACAUGAAUUAAGUCGAUGCUCUUCCUUGAAUAACUAGCGAUUAGUUUCGUGGUGACCUAUCUAGCCAUUUUUCUGUUUGGGUGGCAUCAAUCCUGAACACAGAAAGCUGCAAGAUGGAACAUGGUCAUGACGAAGGCGUGAAAGUCUCGGAGUUUUGCUUGAAACCAGAUCCUCUGAACUGGGGAGUGGCAGCUGAGUCACUGAUGGGAAGUCAUUUGGACGAAGUGAAGGGCAUGGUAGCUGAGUUUAGGAAGCCGGUGGUAAAGCUCGGCGGUGAGAGCUUGACCGUUGCUCAGGUGGCCGCGAUUGCCGCCAAAGGUGAUCAGGGUGUGAAGGUGGAGCUGGCGGAGGACGCAAGGGCUGGGGUGAAGGCAAGCAGCGACUGGGUGAUGGAGAGUAUGAACAAAGGCACUGAUAGUUACGGAGUUACCACUGGGUUUGGUGCCACUUCACACAGGCGGACCAAUCAAGGCGGUGCCCUUCAGAAGGAGCUUACUAGGUAAAUUUUGCCUCUGAAUUUUUACCAUAAAUUAGCUUUAGCUUCACCCUUAAAUUUUGCCUCUGAAGUUUUACCACUUUCAAGAUUGCUGCACUGGCUGUUUUUCUUCCUUAAGUUUAGUUCUUCGUGAUGAUAGUAUGGGUCGAUCCCAGCAUCGUCAUUCUUUUUUUUUUUUUUUUUUUUUUUUUGGCGUUAAUGGUGGCCACAAUUUUACUGUGCUGGGAUUGGGCUUUUGCAUUUAACCUGGAUGAUAAACUACCUGUUUGAAUUGUUACUGAAAAACUCCACUAUUUCCCCCUAAACAAAAAAAUAAAUAAAAAAGAAGACUCUCAACCACCUUUAUAUUUCAUUUGCACUAUUUCCUUUCUAAUAAAUGUUGUCACAAUAAUUUUUUUCUAAAAAUACUCCAAAACAAACAAUCCUAACUGAGAUAGCCAAAGCAAGGUUUAAACUAGAAUUUUGUGAAUGAUUUUUUUUUUUUAAAAAAAGGAUUUUUUCUGUUCCGAACUCAUUUCGACAGAUUUAUUUAUUCUCGUUAGAAGUUUUCAUCAUUAAAUAAGUUUGAAGUUAGAAAAAAGACGCUUAAUUAUCUUCUAAUAAUAUAACCGGAAAAAUUAAGAAAUUAUUAUUUUAGCCUUUCACAAACCAAUAAAUCAAGAUAAUUAAAGCAGAACAAGGGAAAAAACAAUUCUCCUGCAUGCGUAUUUUCGCCUGCUCCAAUUCAUUUGACCUUGUUGGUAAAAAAUUAUGCAGAUACUUCUGAAAAGCAAAAUUCGUUGCCAACCUACCGCCAGUGCAUGCGUGCACUCAAUAAGAAGAACAUAUACUACAGAUGAGCACCCAUAUCACUAUGAGGAAUUGUCAUUAUCUAAUCUUGAUAUUUUGAUUUUUGGCUCCACAGACAUUUCUGUCUUUGGAAGAAGAAAAAAAAAAGAUAAAGAAAAAGCGGAGAAGUGGAAGAUUAUGUAUGUAUUAGGAGGCAUAUUGGAAGCCCACAAAAAAAAAAAUUCAAAAGCAAAAUUGAUGAAAUUAACAAAGGCUACUACAAUAUUUUACCUUUUCACUUGUCCCUAUUUGUCUUAUUUACUACAGUCUAUGGUUGCCCGUUGAUCCAUCCGAAACAAAUGGAAAUUAAAAAACGAACGAAUCUGUAGAGUCGGGUGCAGGGGAAUAGAAAGGAGAAUGAUCCUGACAUGCAUGGAUUAUUGUGUAAAUUGACAGAUUUCUGAACGCGGGAAUCUUCGGAAACUGCACGGAAACUUGCCACACUCAGCAACAAGGGCAGCGAUGCUUGUAAGAAUCAACACCCUUCUUCAAGGUUAUUCCGGGAUCAGAUUCGAAAUCUUGGAAGCCAUCACCACUUUCCUUAACCACAACAUCACCCCAUGCUUGCCUCUUCGCGGUACAAUCACUGCCUCUGGUGAUCUUGUCCCCUUGUCCUACAUUGCCGGUUUACUAACCGGCCGCCCCAACUCCAAGGCCGUUGGACCCAACGGAGAAGCUCUAAACGCCGAAGAAGCAUUUCGCCUUGCUGGCCUCAGCGGUGGCUUUUUCGAGCUGCAGCCUAAAGAAGGCCUUGCUCUUGUUAACGGAACAGCAGUUGGUUCUGGCUUGGCCUCUAUUGUUCUAUUUGAAGCUAACGUGCUUGCUGUCUUAUCUGUAGUGCUGUCAGCAAUCUUUGCUGAAGUGAUGAAUGGCAAGCCCGAGUUCACCGAUCAUUUGACGCAUAAGUUGAAGCACCAUCCCGGCCAAAUUGAGGCCGCGGCUAUCAUGGAACAUAUCUUGGAUGGAAGCUCUUACGUCAAGGCUGCUCAAAAGUUGCAUGAGUUGGAUCCCCUGCAAAAGCCAAAGCUGGCCCGAUACGCUCUCAGGACAUCUCCGCAGUGGCUGGGUCCACAAAUCGAAGUUAUUCGCGCAGCAACAAAAAUGAUUGAGAGGGAGAUCAAUUCAGUUAAUGAUAACCCUCUCAUUGAUGUGUCCAGGAACAAGGCCUUACAUGGCGGCAACUUCCAGGGCACCCCCAUUGGAGUGAGCAUGGACAACGCUCGACUGGCCAUUGCAUCUAUCGGCAAACUGAUGUUUGCUCAAUUUUCCGAGCUUGUUAAUGAUUACUACAACAAUGGGUUGCCGUCCAAUCUCUCUGGAGGAAGGAAUCCAAGUUUGGACUAUGGAUUCAAGGGAGCUGAGAUUGCUAUGGCUGCAUACUGUUCUGAACUCCAGUAUUUGGGCAAUCCAGUGACCAACCAUGUCCAGAGUGCCGAGCAACACAACCAAGACGUCAACUCCUUGGGAUUAAUCUCUUCAAGAAAAACUGCAGAAGCCAUUGAUAUCUUGAAGCUCAUGUCAUCCACUUAUUUGGUGGCUCUUUGUCAAGCAAUCGAUUUGAGGUUUUUGGAAGAAAACUUGAAAAAUGCUGUUAAGAAUAUUGUCAGCCAAGUGGCAAAGCGAACUCUGACAAUUGGCGCUAAUGGAGAACUGCAUCCUUCACGGUUUUGUGACAAGGAUUUGCUCAGAGUGGUGGACCGCGAAUACGCCUUUGCCUAUGUGGACGACCCUUGCAGCGCUACCUAUCCAUUAAUGCAAAAGUUAAGGCAAGUGCUCGUGGAUCAUGCGUUGAAGAAUGGUGAUCAGGAGAAGAACGUCAACACCUCCAUCUUCCAAAAGAUUGCAGCAUUUGAAGAUGAACUGAAGGCUGUCCUACCAAAAGAAGUGGAGAGUGCCAGAAGCGCUGUGGAGAGUGGAAAUCCAGCAAUCCCUAAUCGGAUAAGGGAGUGCAGAUCUUACCCAUUGUACAAGUUCGUUCGAGAAGUGCUGGGGACAGGACUGCUGUCUGGAGAGAAAGCUCAGUCACCUGGUGAGGUGUUCGACCAGGUGUUCACAGCAAUGAGCAAGGGGCAGAUUGUAGAUCCUUUGUUGGAAUGUCUCCAAGAAUGGAAUGGUGCUCCUCUCCCAAUCUGUUGAUUUACUUUCAUCCAUUCAAACAUUUGUUUGUCAAAACCUUCAAUGUAAUUUAUCUGUAUGUCAAAUUCAAUGAUAUGUCUGUAACACCCAUGUAUUGCUCAAGGUUUCUUAAAAUGUGAACAAAAACUUCAACAUCG